GUUUGAUGAGUAAGUAAAGUUUGGGGACAAAUUGUUGACCCAAUCCCCAUCCGACCUGAUCUAGCCUAACUGCUACCCUUAAUGACGAUUGAUGAACAUAACAAAUAACUCCUGCUCUUUUUGCAUCAAAAAAUAAAUAGAUAAUUUAUGUAGUCAGAAGCUCACCUGCGAUCCAUUCAUCGGUGGACCAUACGUACAUCGAACAAUAUAAGCCAUAAGUUUAUCUAUUAUAUUUAAUCGCUCGUCCAUUGUUGAUGAAUGAACUAUAUAUGAUUGGAUCCUCUAACUCCCAAGAUCUAGGCUCGAUGAUCAAAUAAAUAUCUGGGAUUAGCCAUCCCAUCUAUGUCGAGUUUUCAUUUGCUCGCAAUCUUACCAACAUCUCAUAUUUUAUUCACACAUCAGCCACCAAAUUUGAGCCACAAGGUGAUAUUGCGCAAAAGUUGCUUUUAAAGAUGGGUUUGGCCACCUUUUAGGUGGUGCAAUUGGGUGGCGGUGUGGUGCACCUGCAGCAGCACAUUAAGAGGGCCCAUCCUCUUCUGCUGCUCGCCCUUCUGUCCCCUCCGUAUACCACACCGCCGUUACCACCAUCCGUCCAUCUCUCCCUCUCUCUCUCUCUCUCUUAUUUUAUUUGGUGCAAUAGCUGCUCAUCCUACUCUAGUGUAAGACCUGCCAACAGAAGCAAAGGCUAGAAUCUGGCACAGUUGCGAGAGAGGGGCCUUCCGGUGUAGCCAAAGUAUCUCUUCAGAGUGUUGCGCCGUGUAAGAUGCAACCCAGUUUGUGGUCCUAUUCGCCUCCGUCCAUCUCUGACCCUCAUUAUUUUAGCUGCUCCACUGCCAUUUCUUUUCAGUUGGAGGAGGUUUGGCUUGGGGUGAAAGGGUAAACCCCUAAUUAUAUAUGAAGUCCUUAUUUUUAUUUUUAUUUUUAUUUUAGCUUUGAUAGGCAGUCCUUAUUUUUUCCAAGAAACUAUGCAAAAUUCAUGUGAGAGAAAAGAUAAUUAUAAAACAAUUUUUUUUACAGCACCUUGAUUUUUAUCAAUAGAAUAAGAUUCGAUGAGAAUUAGACUAUGAGGUUUUUAUAUUAUGCAUCUUGAUAUUUGGCUAGCCAUGCAAUGGAUAGGAGAGGAGACCUUGAUGUUUUUAUUUCUGCCGGUAAGCAAAAAAAAUGUAGUUUUUUGUGUAAAAAAGAAUUUCUUAUUUUUGGUUAAAAAAUUAAGUUCGCAUUAGCUAUGAUAUAGAAAAUUUCUUUUGAAAAUGGUUUCACAAAAAAAGAGGGACACCAUCCCAGUCUAUUUGUGUUAGACAUUUGUGGUAUCUAGAACAGAUACAACAACCACUAAUAUUUUGUCCAACUCUAUCCUAACUAAAUUUAAUUAAAAAUAAAAAAUUGACAGAUAUAAUUUUAUGAUAAUUAAUAUGAUUUAUACAAAUAAUAAUAGUUUAUUAUUUAUUAAAUAAAAAAUAGCUCUCUUGUCUCUCAAAAAUUUUUUAUUUUGAAAUAUUAUAUGGUGCAUAUGAGCCAUAUAGGUGUGUACAACCAAACACUCUAUAGCCCAAAUUCCAUGAAAAGAAGAACAAGAUUUUCAUGGAUCUUUAUUUUCUCCAUGCAGCUCAAGGCUAGUAUGUUUGAACAGGCUCUUAGAAAAUAUGAGCUAGUGGGCUGAAUUUUCAGCCUAAUUUUGUAAGACUAUCUAAAGAGGACAUUGAUUCGAAUUUCUUAGAUGCAGUUCUGAUCCAUUGAUAAGCCAUACUCAACAUAUAUUAUAUAAGAUCCUUGUUAAGGGCAUUAUAAAAAUAGACAAGAAACAAGAGUAGGUUGUCUGCUGCAUCAUGUCUUAAAACCUAAAACUUCAAUUAUCUUUGUACUUGGCCCAGUUUCUUCAUUCCAUUCCUCUUGCAUGGGAGAUAUCAAAUGUUCGGAAGUGCAAAUGUGCUCUAAAAGUUAGAAAAGAACAUAAUCAGCAAGAGUACGUAAAAGAUACCUCAAUACUAUCCGGACUAAGCUUCAGUUCAGUGAUGCAGAUCAUUGGACUUUUAGAGAACUUCUUAAGGGCCAUCUGAGCUAAACCUGGAAACAUCCAUGAAGAUAUAUUGAGCUCAAUGUACAGUCCAGUUAGUGCCUCCUCUCGGCACCUGAACAACCUCGCAAAGUGACCAUCAAGUCGCCACGCAGAAAGGCAACUCCAGUAGAAGGUGCGUCCAGCCAUCAGCAGCAUUUAUACCAGUAGGGCCACCAAGGUGGUCAAUUGAAUCAUUAUUAUAUCUAGCUCCUCUGCCGAGUGGUCUUCCUCCAUAAUUUUAGAUUGAAAAUCUUUCAAUCUAAAAGUAUACAAGCAUAGUCUGUGCCCCCAGCACCCUCAGUAUUAAUGGAUAAACUCUUUUACAUCUUUAUAAUAUAAACAAUCUUUAUCCAACUCUACCCGUUUAUGUUAUCUUAGAAUACCAGGCAGUUCUGUAUAUGUAAUAACCAUCCAAAGAAUAACAAAAGCGAGAUUAAACAUAUGUAUGCUUCCUCCAUUUAAGCCCUGAUGCGUCAUCGUCAGGCUAAGGAUCUAAAUUUAUUCGAAUCUAAUUAUAAACAACAUGAUCAGCUCGUGGUUAUUAUAAAUAUAUCCGUGCUGCAGUAUCCCUCAGUCCACAUAAUAGGUUAUGCGUCGGAUCUGCUCUGAUACUAUUUGUCAUGACCCAAAAUUUCAUCCAAAAAGGCUAAGUCCGAAAGUAUUAUUUAAAUUUCUUGGUCUUAUAUAAAUAUCUAAUAUCUAUCAGCGAAAGAACUAAAGUGGGACUAAACAUACAUCCGCAUGAGUCCUUGCAUACAUAAAUAUCGGGGAAAGCUAAGGGGCUGUGUUCAAUUUUAAAGCAUACAGGAAGUAUCCACAAAGAAGAACAUAUUUAUAGUGAUGUAUCAUUCUACCAAAACUCAUCUUUAAUUAAUCCUUUCCAUCGAACUCUUCCACUCAGCUUAAUAUGUUUUCCCACCAACACAAGACAGAUGCAAUAUUUCCAUCAUUCAGCACCUAAGACUAUGCAUUAGCCUACAUACUGAACAUCAAUGCGCAGAGUCUGUCAUCAUCAUAACAAAUACCUGUUAUAGUUAUCCAAUCAGCAGUUGGAUUAAUGGUUGCAAAACCUAAUCUGAUAAAGGGCUCAUCUGACUCGAGAUGUCUGAUCAUAAUCAAACUGGUUGUGGUGAGGAGCCCAUACAUGUAACUCAUGAAAAGCCUAAUGGUAAUCUUGUGAUGCAUUUUUUAUAUAUAUGUAUGUAUUCUUGGUUGCUAGAAGUGGGCCACUCUCUCCAAUUGCAGCCUCUUUUCACUAUUAAAUAGCCCACCACCAUCAUGCUUGCUUCCUCCCUCCCCACCCUCCCCUCUGGAAAACUCUCUGCACACAGAGCUCUCCCUCCUAACCUUUCUCCACAUUCAAUAUAUACCUUGAAAGCUCCAUCCAUGCACCCCCCCCUUGAGGUUUCCGACCUACAGCAUGGAGGCUAGCUAGAGUUAAAUAAGGUUCUUUGGAGCUUGUGCAGCCCAAGUCCAAGCCAUGGGCUCAGGAGAUGGAGUCCCUCUGCCCUGUUCUGGCCCUGGUAACACCUCAACGUCAGAUGAGGCUGGUGAGCACCAACCAAGCCUUGUGGAUGAGAUGAGGAGGAGGAGGAGGAUGGUAUCAAAUAAAGAGUCCGCUCGAAGGUCACGCAUGAGGAAGCAGAGGCAUCUGCAUGAGCUGUGGUCACAGGUGGUAUACCUCCGGGCCACAAACAGAAGGCUCGCCGACGAGCUCAACCAUGUGAUGGAGGAGCGCGAUCGGAUCCUCUACGAAAAUUCCUGGCUCGGACAGGAAGCAUCUGAUCUCCGAAAAAGGCUGGACUGCAUGCAAGUCGAGAGCAGUAGUUGUGCUCCAUAUGAAACCUGAAAAACUGAUCUCAUCCUGCAUUCACCAGUGUUAUUCCCCUCUCAUUGUUCGGGGUUUGUGUUCUUUUAGAUGUUAUAUUUACCUGUAUGGCUGUGUCAAUCUAACAUUCACCAUGAGCCGAUUGCAGCAGAAAGCUCUACUUAUAGCGACUCAGUUCAAGAUUACAGCAGGGCAGAAGGAGGCAGAUGAUUAAAAUCUCUGCAUCAGCUUCCACAGGGGAAUAUUAAUUUAAACCUACGUUGUCCUACAAAACUAGAAAAUUUCAUGUGAGAUCUUGCACCAACGUGUCUAGUCCUGCAUCAGUUAUGCGCUAGAAGGAUAUUGGAUACUUAUAUAAGGUCAAGGAUUCCAAAUAACACAUUCCAACUAGUUUUUUUUUUGGAUGGCGCUAUGCAUAGUUGCCAAAGGUAUCGAGGUGGAUCCAAUUCAUGACUCAUGUAAAAUUGGGGACAUUGUAGCAUGGAUACUUUUGGAGCUGACCAUAGGCUAAUCAUGGUAUUUAUGAUUGGACUUGAUUAGAUAGUGAAGAAAAUCAAUCAAAAACAAAUCGUACAACAGUGCCAAACUUACUAAAAGGAUGCAACCAGAUGUAUGAUGAAAGAGAUUAGAUAAUUGAUCAAUGCAUUGGCCAAAUUAGGAAGCAUGCAAUUGUAGCUCCAAAAGGAAAGGCAGUUAAAUGAGAACUGCUGCUGGUGGUUGUGGAUCAUAUACCUACAAACACAAGCCUUGCCAUAGAAAGUCAAAAACAUAUAAAGUGGCUUUGCAUAAAAAGAAGAUGCACACUGUUUCCAACUUUUCUAAGGUAGCAAUGUCUGCAGUAAUAUUGUUCAUCUGGGUGGACCUUGUCUGCUGAGUUCCAGAUGGCAUCCAGCAUCAUUAGCACUAUCACUUUCACUCAAAAGAGUAUGUCUGACUGUCAGUGUAAUGUGGGAAUAAAAAAAAAAAAGUUCUAUUCUGAGUUUUCUUAUACAAGAGAAAUAUAGAAAAAAUAUUCAGCUUGCGAGCAGACCCACAUAAUGAUUCAAGGUUCUUCUCUGCUUGUGUAUAAGUUCUUAUACAUAUGCACCUAAGGUGAAAUUGAAUGCUUCCCCAUGUUAGAGGUUUUAUAACCUCAAAAUAGGUGCAUGGCAGCCUCCCCAUUCACUGCCCAUCAUACAUAGCUGAGGAAGAAUUUCCCCUGGAUUUGAAGUAAUUUGUGACUGCUACUCUUAAAAUUAGCUAAAAUGAAUACUGGAGUGCCCAAAAUGUUCAGUAACAUUAGUCAUGGAGUUUUAUUUUGAUUUUAAACACAUUUCUGAUAUGCAUCCAAUGUCGUACCUACUAGAUUGAGUUGCAGUCUAUUUUAUCUCCCCUGUAACUUUUGAGCUUUUUAAUCUUUAAACUAGAAAUUUUUUAAGGUGUUUCAGUUUGAUGGCUGACUAGGACUCUGUAAGAUAUUUCCUUUUCUUUUGACCCUUCAGACUUUUUUAUUAGGUAACCAUUUUAGUUGGACAGCAGACUAUGUGUAAACAUUGCUCCCUUCUUGAAAAAAACUUUCUUGUUCAAAUCUUCAAGUAGUUCAGAUGCCGAUCUCUUGGAGCUCCAAUGGGAGUAGAAUUAUCCCCUGUUUCAUCUUUCAGCAAAUCUGAUUAUCUACUUUAACAUAUCCAUCUUCACCAACAUCUCUUCGGAUUAAGCAUGCUGUUAACCUAAUCAUCAAUUUCCCACCAUGAUUAGUAUAGCAGGUCAACAAUGACAGAGAGAUAAAAUCAAUCCCAAAUGACUUGAUAAAGUCGAUACAAUGCAUAUUCUUGAACUUGUUGAUUUGUCACACUUAGUUAUGUGCCCUGUACCAUCCAAUCGGCUAGUAUAUGUUGAAUUGUUUGAUUCCUGUAAUGCCCUUUGGGCUUUCUUCAGCCAAUUUGGACAAUUUAGCUUGCAUUGUUUUUCCAUCAUACAAGUAUCUCCUACUAAUACAGAGAGGAGAUUUUCUUGAGGGUAUCUUAGAUUUAGCCUUUUAGCAACAAUCACAUCUUGUUUCUAAAUUUGGUCAACAUGGCCAGGGCUUCAAGACCCAUAUCUGUCUUCCUAAGCUGAACUGAAACUACUAUUCUAUGUUUCAUAAUGUUGGAUCAUGGAUGUGACCGAUUCGGCUCUGGAAUGCAUAAUUAGACUGUUGGACCAAUUAUAUGCUCUUAGAAAUCAGCAUAUAGAUAUCUUCAUAUUUAUAUUUCUGGUCAUAUAGUUUGACAUGAUGCAUAUGUCUCUCUUCCCUUUUUUUUCUCACUAUUAUUUGUGCAAUGUGAAUUAUAAGGACAAUUAAAUUACCAUCAAUAACUUAUGUAACCUUGUAUUAAGCCCUCUUAAUGUCUUGGCAGCUAUAUAUUGGCCAAGAUAUUUGGAUAUCUAUCAUUUAAUAAUUAAUAAAAAAGUUAAAAAAACUUUUGUUGUCUUUUUAUCUCAGACAACAACAUACUUGAGAUUACAGUAUCUCUCGGUAUUCAUUACCAUACAAGAUGACGCUCCAAAGCCAAUUCUCACAAUAUGAAAAUCUUGGAAUCAACGUAAGCUCUUUUUCGCAUUGUUCUACUUGUAUGGCUCUUACCAACUAGAUGUGAGUUUCACACCUUAUCUGUCAUACAAAGAGUAUAGAAGGUUAGUUUUUUUUUAUUUUUUUGGGUAGUGGAGGAAUAUAGAAGGUAAGUUUGCAGGAAAAAAAUAUAAGAUUAAAAUUAACUUGAGUUGAACCAUUAAGGAUUACAAAAUAAAAAAUUUCCAUCAAAUAGCCUGCAUUCUUUUAAGUCACACAUGGAAUUAAAAAAAUAUGCAUUAUCACUAAAAAUAUACAUUACAAGAAUUGGGAGCUUGCUCGUAAAAGAAUGAUCCAUAAAAGAUCGAAACCUUAUUGACCAACAUUCAACCUGAUUUCUUCCUUCCAAAAUUAUGCUAGAGUAUUUGGAUCAUGCUGAAACAAACACCCGAUGUAAGCUAGCUCUGUCAUUCGUGAGGGUGCUAAUAUACCUCAGGCUUUUGCUUCAUAGCCAAAUGGAUAUCUAGUAAUUGAAAAAAGGUUAAGGAAAACCUUGAUUAUUUUUUUAAGGGGUCUUUGAAACAUAUUUUGACACUUUGAAUUUGUAUAUGCUGCACAAAAAGGAUUAAUUUCAGAACACAGAAGUCCAACAUUUUAAGGAUGAGCCUUGGCACAAUGGUGAGGUUGCUUGAUUGUAACUUGGGUGUCAUGAGCCUGAAACAUGAAAAUGGCUUCUCCGCAAGCAGGGGCAAGACUGCAUACAUCUAACCCAUCCUAGACAAGUAAUAGCGGAAGCCUCGUACACUAGGCCACCCUUUUUUUUUUUCUUGUAGAAGUCCACCCAUUUUUUUAACCAAGGGAAAGAUGCAUUGAUUUGUACUUCUUCCACUGGAGGAAUAUAUAGCUGCUUUGAACAGACAUAUCAAAUGCAGUCAUAACCUGGUCCUAACGAUAAAUUUGCCCGAAAGACCACAUUUUGGUGGAUCAAACAUUACCAAAUUGGAGCUGCUCUUUCUGAUCUCUUCUCUCCUCUUCCUCAUCCUCAAGGAAAGAAUCUAAAUUAGGCACAUAUCCAGCCCAUUUCAUCUCACAAAUUAACUCAUCUAGCCUCUGAUAUAUCUCCACGCAUCUUGGGUGAGCCUUAUCUCCCACAAGAAAGGCGUGCAUCUCGUUCUUCACUUCAAUCCAACUACAACCAGGCUCCUUUUUCAUCCUACUCUGCCUCAUUAUCCUCCUUAUCUUGGAAACUUCCCCCCAUUUGCCGACUUCUGCAUAUAUAUUUGACAGAAGAAUAUAAGCUGCAGAAUCUUCAGGAUCCAGCAGCAGUAUAUUAUUGGCCACCAUUUCUGCCACCUCUACAUUUCGAUGGAUCUUGCAGACACUCAAAAGAUUUCUCCAUAUAACAGCAUCAGCUUCAACUGGCAUGUCAUUGAUGAGAUUUAAAGCUUCAUGGAUGCCCUUUGAGCGCCCUACUAUAUCCACCAUGCAUGAAUAGUGCUCCAAUUGAGGCUCCAAUUUGUAGUGGUUGGUCAUCAAUUGGAAGUAGUGCAUGCCAUCAUCAACCAAACCAACAUGCCCACAAGCUCGAAGAACUGCUACAAAUGUUGCAUGAUUCGGUCUCACAUUCUCUAGUUGCAUCCUCUCAAACAUUCUAAGUGCCUCUAAUCCAAGGCCAUGAUAAGCAUAACCACAAAUCAUGGCAUUCCAUGACACAAAGUCCCGUUCAUGCAUCUUUUCGAAUAUUAAAAGAGACUCCUGCAUGUUCCCACACUUAGCAUACAUGUCCACCAGAGUGCUUGAUAUGAACACAUCCCUCUGCAACUCUUGCUUGACAAUCUGACCGUGGAUUUGCUUCCCUAGACCAACCAUGGCAAGGUUCGCACAAGUAUCAAGUACCGAGGCAUAUGUGAAGUUGUCAGGUUUUAUCCCAAUAUCUAACAUCUGAGAGAAGAAAUUCUGAGCCUCUUCACUUUGUUUCUGAAGAGAAAAUCCAGAUAUGAUGGCAUUCCAUGAUACAAGUGUUUGCUUCUCUAUUCUCUGGUGAAGUUUCUGAGCUUCUUCCAUCAUCCCACAUUUACAAUACAUGUCAACAAGAGCACUUCCAAUGAAUGAAUCCAAACCAAGUCCUGACUUGAUAAUCUUGUCAUGGACCUUCAUUCCAUUAUCCAAAGAUUGCAAUCCUGCACAAGCUUUAAGAACACUGCCAUAAGUGAACUCAUCAGGUUCCAUGCCGCAACGUAACAUCUGACUGAAAUGUGCCAGCGUCUCUUCAUACUGUCCAUUCUGCUCAAGAGCUGUGAUAAUAGCAUUCCAGGAGACAGCAUCUCUUCGGUCCAUCUCCUCAAAAAUAUCGCAUGCGUCCGUCAAAGCUUUACAUUUUCCAUACAUAUCCAGUACUGCAUUCCUAACACAAAUAUCCGAGAUCAAACUAGUUUUAAUAGCUAAGCAAUGAAUUUGUGAACCCUGGAAAUACCCUUUUACCUCUGCACAAGCACUGAAAACACCAGAUAAGCUGAUCUCGUCGACACCAACCCCAGAUCUGUUCAUGAGUUGAAAUAGAUUCAUAGCUUCGAGCGUUCGAUUGCUUCGAGCAAACCCAACAACAAUGGCAUUCCAUGACUGCAGGGUUCGGGUAGGCAUCCACUUAAACACUCUCAAAGCAUCAUCCAAGCAAUCACCUUUUGUGUACAUAUCCAAAAUAGCAGUCCCUACUACAAUAUCUGUACUAAAAUUGUUCUUCAACGCAUGCCCAUGAAAUUGACUGCCCACUCUAACUGAGGACAGACCCGCACAUAAUCUGAAAACACUUGCAUAAACUGACUGACUCACUCCUACUCCUGAACGCUGCAUCUCCAUGAACAACUCCAAUCCGUCAAUGAAUUUUUCAUUUCGAGAACAACCCCCAAUAACUGCACUCCAUGAGACCCAAUUCCUUUCAGGCAUUUCAAAGAAAAAAUGAAGCGAAUCACCCAGACUCUUGCAUUUCGCAUACAUAUCCACGACCGCACUCCCUGUCACCACAUCAAAAUCCAGACCCAUCUUCAGUACCAUUCCAUGAAUCUGAGAACCCAAUUCAAGUUCCUCUGAUGCAGCACAAGAUUUAAGAAUGAUAGCAAAGGUAGUACGAUCUGGUUCUAUCCCGCUACGCCCCAUCUGUAAGAAGAGUUCGAUGGAUGAAUAAGAACUCCCGUUCUGCAAAUAACCUGAGAUCAGCGAAUUCCACGAGAUAACAUCUCGCUCGGGGAUCGCAUCAAAGAGGGAUUCUGCGAUGCCCAUCGCACCGCUUUCGCUGUACCCAGAAAUCAUUGCAUUCCAAGAGAUGGUGUCCUUCUCAGGCAUGCGGUCGAAUACUUUACGAGCAUAGUCUAAAUUCGAGCACCUGACGUACAUGUGCAUCAAACAGUUGGCAACGAAGGUGGUUGGGACGAAGCCAGUAGUGAUCAUCUGGGCAUGGGCUUCUCGGCCUGGGUUCAAGUCUUGGUGCUUGGCACAGUGCUGGAAGAUGUGGGAGAAGGUUCUUCUCUUGGUGGGGGGCGAGUGCGGCUCGGGCAGACAAGUGGAGAAGGGAGGACGGAGGGCGAGGCAUUUGGAGAAGGGGUUUGGAGGGAGAGAGGAGGAUUUGGCGAGGAGGUGGCGAAGGGACGGAAAGGCCAUGCUAUUUGGAAAUCAUGCCUCAUGAUGUGCUUAGCUAGCUAAUGUGACCGUUGGGAUUUUGAAUUUGCCUUCAUCAAGCAGGACGGACCCCGGACGGAAACGCGUAUGUUAUAUAUAUAUAUAUGACCGCUGCUCACACUGAAGAGAAAGACGGCAAAGAGACCGAGGAGCGGCUAACCUCUUUUGAGCAUAGGAGAGUCUGUAAUUUAGUCUGUAAUUUUAUUCGUCUCUCAAUAUACAUGCAUAAUUGGAAAGACGCUAUAAUUUUUCAUCAUCUAAUAAAUAUUACAAAGCAGUAGAUUUUCAUCUUUUACCAUCUCUAANNNNNNNNNNNNNNNNNNNNNNNNNNNNNNNNGUAGAAUACGCUCAACCCCAGCAUCCGUCUCGCUUUGGCGAUAAAUUCAGGGUGAGGACUGAAGCUUUGUGAGGGCUGACGUCACUCACACCGGGCAGCCUUUAUUAUAUUAUUCUCUUGUGGUGACGUGGCGUUUAAAUGAGGAGCCCUCUUUAUGGUUUGAUUCUACCGGACCGUCUAUAGGAUUUCUAUUCGGACCGGACCCGGAUCGAGAGGCAGGCGACCGAGACCGAGAAGACCGAGGACGGAGAGGGAGAAGGGGGCUUGGAGGUGUCGGAGAUGGGGAGGGAGGUGGCGGAGAGCUGCGUUGAUGGCGUGAUCAUGGAGAUGGUGUCGGCGUACUGCAAUCGCUUCUACUCCUCCAAGCCCGAGCUCGCCGCCCGCCGGAUCGAGGCCAUUGGCUUCCAGGUCGGCCACCAGCUCUCCGAGAGGUACCCUCCCCCCCUCUCUCUCUCUCGCUCUCGCUCUGACCCUUUCUCGUCUCCUUCCCACAUUCCUCUCCUCCAGAUCUACUUACCAGCCUACACUUCGUUUCUCAUAUAAUCGAGUAAUUUCUAUAAAAAUCGGCUUCUUUUCUUCGAAUCAUGCGUCUAGGGCAGAUAAAUUUCACUUCUUUUAUGGAUAAUUUCUUCUGGUUACUUGUGAUUUUCUUCUUGAGAAGAGGGUAUAGUUUUAAGCUGGGGCAUAGAGUCGGUAUUUUUCUCUUUGUUUCUUGAGCAAUUUGUAAGGAAUUGGAUUUCUUUUUCUUGCAUUUAUGUGAAAACUAACGUUGGGGCGGAGAUGAAUUGCAUUUUUGUACGAUGUAUUUCUGUGAUUGUGGAUUCUUUAUUGGGUUUCAGUGUCCGUGGCUUCAAGUUGGUAUUUGUGAAACUUAAGAUCCGCCUUCUUGUUAAUGGCUUAUAUGGAGAUCAUAAGAGGAUCAUUGGCUAAAAGGGGAAAGUGGCUUUAUAUCAAAACUUUAUCCUUUUGUUCUGCCUCCAGACAUGGGGAUCUUUAUUAGGAUGUGGAAUAAGGCAAACUAGGCUGGACGUGUUGUAGACUUUGAUAUGUACGACAUAAUCUGGAUUAUAAAUGGUUUCUCUCUUCUUGAUUUGCUUUGUUAUGAAAUCGACAGAUAAUUUGUCCUUCCAACAUUUUGUGUCACGCCAAAAUAUGAAGUCAUGGAUAGUUUGGAGGCUGAUUCUUUUUUCAUUUUUUUGGAUUUCAUGUUAGAGGAAGUAUAUUUGUAACAACCCAGGAUCUCACCCAAAAUGGCUAGCUGGAAGUUAUUAUUUGGGUUCCUCGAUCCUGUAUAAGUACCCAAGAUCUCCUCAGCAAAUAAUCGAUGUGGGACUAAAUACACGCUCGCACGGAUUCUCACAUACUCCCUCCGUUCAAGUUUUGAUGUCCUCGUCAGGUUAAGGGUUUAAAUCCAUUCAAAUCUAAUCACAAACACCACGAUCGACCCGUGGUCAGCCCCAAUGAAUCCGUGCUACAAUGUUUUCUAGUCUACAUAGGUUAUGAGUCGGAUCCGCUCUAAUACUAUUUGUAACAACCUAGGACCUCACCUAAAAUGGCUAGCCGGAAGUUAUUAUUUGGAUUCCUUGAUCCUGUAUAAGUACCCAAGAUCUCCUCGGUAAAUAACCGAUAUGGGACUAAAUACACGCUCGCACGGAUUUUCACAAUACUGAUUAAAAGAAAUAACUUCUUUAUUGGAAACUAUGGUUAAUAUUGCUAUUGCCAUGUUUUAAGAAGCUCAUGCUGUUGAUGUUAUUAAAAAAGAGAGCAAAUGAUGGAAUUAAUGGUUGUUUAACAAUUUCGAUAUUUGGGGUGUGAUGUUUAUUCAACACAUUAUUCAUGAAUGGUUAAAAAUUUCAAAACGUCCAACGACUAUAUCUUAGCUGUCUCUAGGUUGCUUAUGGAGUAUAACUUUACAAACACAACCCAGAUUAAAUUAUGUUCUUGUGUAUACUUAUACUAGUAGAGAAGAGAGGAAUUGACUAAACAUUAUUUUGUUCUAGAUUUUAACUGAAAAGUAUUUUAUGCAACACAAAAUAACAACAUAUCUGGACUUCUUAGAUUGUAGAGUUACCAAGGCAGCUCUCUUAGGCGCUUGAGUGGUGUUAGCAGAUGAAUUUCUCUGAUUACUUGAUUAUGCAUACAUAUUUCACUCGAUAUAGGCUUAUAAAAUUCAAGCCUACCAAGUUCAUUACUCUAUAUCAACACAUGCUCUCUUAGGCACCUUCACAAUUUAGAUUUUUGGACUAUUGCUGAACCCACGUUUGGUAGGAAAAGUCUUGGAUGGUGAUGAUGAUGUAGUUGUAUACCUUGUACACGCACACUGUGUGCAUGUAUUUUUGUCUUGUACAUGCAAUCAUGGAUGUCUAGCAUUAUAUUAUGUUUAUUAAUGCCCUGAAGUAGCUACAUUGAGUAUAAAUGGAUUAUGUGAAUUCACUAGUUUUUGCACUUGAAUUCAUUGUGAAUGUGCCCAUAUUAGCUGCAUAUGUAUCUGAACACUGGUAAAGAAGGAUUCAUAAGCUCGAUACUAGGUUGAUGGCAAAGGGCUUGCUGAAUAUGUUUCUAACUAUUUUUAAUCAAGAUUAUUUUUUGGCUGAAAGGUAACAUUAAUAUGCAUAAAGUUAAUUUGUCAUGUAUAACUCAUUCGUUGCAUCUCAUACUCAGAGAAAAAAAAUAGCAGGAUAUCUUUGCAUGUGGUGCUCUUAUACAUGAGCUAUUUAUUUCUGGUAAUCUCAGCAGAUUUACUUAAGGCUUUGUAAAAUCCUUUAACUUGUUCACAUCAAAUAUGACAUGUUCAUAUGUCUUUUAUUUUCCUUAUGUUUGUUUUUAACAAUGCCUUCCUCACUUACUUUUGGUUCUAGAAAACAUUGUGCUGAUCUUUCACACAUAUUUGUCAAAUAGCCGAGGUGACCCCAGGUGAUGGACUCUCCUACGGUCCAGGUGAUAGCCUAGGUCAUAACAGUCUAGGUGAUAGCCUAGGCAAGGUGACAAGAUUUGUACAAAAAGUUACAAAAUAAUUUAUGUCUUGAUGUAUUUCAGUUUUUGAUCAAAACUUGCAAUGUUCUCAAUCAACCAUCCUAGACUAUGACUCUAAGAUAUGUGGUAACAGUUAAUGAAUUAGUUAUAUUUAAAAUCUAAUGAAAAUUUCAUUUUUAUCACAAUUUUAUUAUCUCUACUAAAUUCAGAGUACAAUAACAUUGUUGUCUUAGCUCAAAUGGUAGAGCACAAUAGAAGGUCAAGCAAAAUUUCCUCUUUCUAGAGCACAACGGAAUAACAAACCUGGGAAUGAAAACAUGAGGAUUUCAAAUAAAAAUAGAGCAUAAUUAUUAACUGUUCCCUCUAUUACUGCUUUAUAGAACAGAGCAAAAUAAAUUAGAGUUUACUCUUUGAAAGACCCCUCAUCCUCCUAUGCAACAAAAAUAGACAAGUUUUCCCUUUUUUACUAAUUACCACCAUGGAGGAAAUUAAGAGGGCUAAAAAACACAGUAGAUCAAAAUAAUUAUAACAAAUAGUUCUAACAGCACAAAUUACAAUUAAAUCUUGAAGAAUAGUGAAAGUGCAAAAGAAAGCUCACUUGAACAGCUACCAUUUGAAUAGAACAACCCAAAGAGUUUUAACAUACAAAGUAAUUUAAAAAAUUGGAGGCUUUGCAAGAGUAUCUUAAGCUCUUUGCCUCUCUCAGAGCUUUGGUAAAGAAUAAAAAAAGUAAGAAAAAACCUCUCCCAUUUUGGAGGCUUGGACCACCCAUUUUCUUUGGGGUUUGACAGCAUCAACAAUAACCCAAAAGGAAACAGAAAAAAGGUAAAGGAGAGAAGAGAAAGAGCGAGAGACAUAGGAGAGAGAGAGAGAGAGUGAGAGAAAGAGAGAAGCAUACCUUGAUUGGCCUCAUUGUUCACCAUCAACUCUUGCUUGACCCUUUUUAAGCAUUGUUAGCCACCGUUGACUAUCAUUUGGGACAUUAGAGAGUUGAGAGGCAGGAGAUACAAGCCGUCUUCUUGCCCUAAGGUUGGAAUGAGGAGGGAGGGGUGUGAGCGGAUUGCCCAGUUUGUUCUUAGUGUCCUCUUUUUUUUUCUUUUUGUUGGAAAAAAAAUGGUUUGACCUGAUAGCUACCCACUUGGUCUGAGCUAGAACUCUGGGUCGAGAACUAGUGUGGGAUGGCCGAGCAGCCACUCGCAUAAAUUAGGUGAUAUAGGCAAUGCUCAAUUGCCCAAGCAGGUGCCCAGGUUGGUAGGUGGAUGCCUGUGUAACAGGCCAUCCAGGUGGGCCUUGCGGCGCUGGGGGGCCUGUUAGUCACCUAGGCGCCCACCUAGGUGCCUAGGGGAGCACCUGUAACAACUAUGCUUUUAUGUGGAAAGAAGCUCAAACCUAGGAUAAAAACAACAAAUCAUAAAUAACCUGUUGACAUGAAUUUCUCUUCUGGCUUUGAGAACUCUGCAGAAUAUCACCCUGGUUUCUAGGUGCUUCCUUACCUAGGCUUUUCUGGGGAGCUCAGUUUUCGUAGUACCAUAACCAAAUCCAUUCCCACAUGUUCUCACGAUCAAAAUAACAAAGUUCUCCAACAUUGAAUGUUUGUGCAUUUCUUCUUGCCCUCUGGCUCGGUCAUAUUUUUAAUUUCUUUUUACUCUAAAUAUACUCUUCAGUCAUAUCAAUGUUUUCUAUUCCUCGGGAGCAGAUGCAUCCUAUGGUUGGAAUUUAGACUGUCACAUCUUAUCAUGUUCGCUUGUUUCUGGCCAGAUAUACAAUGGAGCGCCCAAGGUUCAGCGAUCAUCUGGAAGCUAUCAAAUUCAUCUGCAAGGAUUUCUGGUCAGAGCUAUUCAAGAAACAAAUUGAUAACUUGAAAACUAAUCACAGGGUAAUUCCAAAGAGCAGAUUGAUAACCUCGGAUACGUACUUAUAUAAUUAGAUGUAUGUGUGGUUGCGUGAUAGUAUUCUGCACCCUGCAGGGUACUUUUGUGCUGCAAGAUAACCAGUUUCGGUGGCUUACUCACAUAUCGAUUGAUGCAUCACCAGACAAUGUGGAAGCAUCUCAGCAGGACUCUUCAUCGCCAACAUCUAAUAACGCAGCCCAAUUCACAAGCAUGCAUCUCUACUUCCCAUGUGGAAUCAUAAGGGGGGCACUUACCAACUUAGGAAUUCCAUGUGCUGUUUCUGCUGACAUAUCCAACCUUCCUGCAUGUGAGUUACAAGGACUGCAUCUCAAUUAUGGGAUUUUGACAUCUAGAACUACCAACGCUGACAGUACAUUAUCAUUCUUCCUAUUAGAAAAUUUUCAUCUUUAGUGUCAAUCACAGCAAACUUGUCGAUAAUAGCCUGCUGGAGAGUUGGUUGAUAAAUUCUCAAGCUGAUCAGCUUGCUCGCCCGCAUCAUAUUCUGUAGCCUCAAAUAAGGGCUGAACACAACCAAAUAUUCCCUCAAAGACAAUGUAAUCAACACGGACAGGUGUGGACAUGUCUCGAGAGCUGGGUACAUGUCGGACCCCAAAUUAACAGCCUGACAUUUUUGUGCUUCUCAUGGAGCAGCUGAUCUUUCGUUGAAUGGGCUUUGUGUAGAAUACCCUAGCACACGAGCAUUUUCCAAUUUUAAGAAUUUUGACAUAGAUACACUUUGAAUGCAAUGUGCUAACGAGUUGCUGGUUUCCAACUGAUCAACAGGUUCAUUCGUGGUACGUAUAAAAGCUUAAGGCACGCUUUGUUUGGAUCGGAGAUAUAUGGUAAAAGGGCAGCUUCAAGGCAAUCAGAGGAACUAUAUGUUAAAGUUGUUUCCAUUUAAAUCAUCAGUCUUGAAUCCAUGUAAUUUGUCUCACUUCUUAUAAAAGAUGCUUGUGGUCACAAUUAGAAAUUGUUAUUUUUGUUUUCUUGAGUAUCAGCAAUACUUUGUUUGGUUUGAAAAUUGUAACGUUAGCUUUAGAUUGAGAUGCAUAUUUUUGACUCUAUGGAUGCAAUACUGAACCGUCAACAGUCAUGUUUCUUCUAGUUUGGCUUCUUGGGUAACCUCAGGACAAGAGCAUCCCUGUGGCUACUAUUGCCUAGUUAUCACUUGUAACUUGUACUUGGAAAUUCAUGGGCAAUCAAUUCAAAGCUUGGAAUGCUAGAAAUUUUUAUCUUCAACUGCAUGAAAAAUCGAAUGGUGGGGUGGCUCUUGAUCAGGUUUGACUCCCAAGGUCUUGUGGGUGUGCAAGGCGUCACAGGACCUGUUUGUAGGCCAAAAAACGACUAUAGCGAGCCUUAAAAAAGGUUAUGUCUAUAGAUCAUAACGGAGGACCAAACAUACCAACCGCCCAACGCGAGCGAAGUGGAUAAGCCGUCCGUUUCACAUUAUUUCUCCCUCGUCCAUCUCUCUCGGCCAACCAUACUGAGAUGCAAGUAUUCCCCGGCAUCCUCCGCACCACCCCUUCGCCAUCUCUCUCCGCCCGCCUCCGGAUCCCCACGAAACCAAAGACGCCGCAGCGCCGCCACCUCUGCUUCGCCUCCAGCGACGGCGGCGGCUUUGGGCUCUCCGUCUCCGACGGCGAACUGGAGUCCCGGGGCUUCCGGGUGCGGCGGACGGCGGCGGGGCUGGACGUGGAAUCCCUGAACGAGGUGUUCGCGCGGGUGGGCUUCCCCCGGCGGGAUCCCGCGCGGAUCCGGCGGGCGCUGGAGCACGCGGGCGGCGCCGUCGUGUGGGUGGAGGACGCGAGGUCGAAGGCGGAAGGGCGGCCGGUGGCGUUCGCGCGGGCGACGGGGGACGGGGUGUUCAACGCGGUGGUGUGGGACGUGGUGGUGGCGCCGUCGUUCCAGGGGAUGGGGCUGGGCCGGGCGGUCAUGGAGCGUCUCGUGGCGGAGCUCCGGGGCAUGGGCGUGUCCAACAUCGCCCUCUACGCCGAGCCCCGUGUGGUGGGCUUCUAUCGCCCCCUUGGCUUUGCGGCAGACCCGGACGGGAUCCGAGGGAUGGUCUACUCCCGGAAGAACCAGCAAAAGAAGAGAAGAUAGCAGCAUCACAGGAAUUUGGAUGCCUGCUCUCACUCUAUAUUGAUGCACAUUACUGCUUGUUUGCAUCUAAAACUUUACGUAUGGUACAUUUUAAUGGUGUAAUUCUACAAUUGAAGCACAUCAGAGAAAAUACAAAUAUUUUUGUAAAGAAAUGCCCUGAACCUUUCAAAGGGCAAGCUUUGAAGCUUUGUUUCAUUUAUGAAUGACAUAUUGAUGAUGACCUUGGAAUUGGUAUCAUGUUUGGAUAUUUCGAGCUGUAUAAAGCUGAAUCACAAGGAUUGACAUGGGAAAGAAAAACGUCCGAGUCUUUUUUGAGCAAAUUGGUGGAAUCCCACCUCUCGAUUGAAAUGGGGAAGAUAAUAAAAGAAAAGAAAGAGAAGAAAGAAAUGGCCGAGAGGGGCCAAGAACAACACAACAGCAGAACAGACUACCCAUGGAAUGAGCAGCAGAACUGGGUACACCAUUACACAUCAAUUAAUCAUUCUCCCAACUCUUUUAUGGACCAGCUGAGGAUAACAGUAACUAAAAUGCCAUUCUUUCCACCAAGAACGACUUUGAUCAUAUUACCGGGUCUUGCAUAACUGCAGGAGCUACAAAAGCAUGAGCAUGAAUCUUGUGACUAGUGAUAGAAUGGAUCCAUUUUUGCUAGACGUAAUUCAUUGUAAUUUUCAUUUCGUAGAAGGGAAACUGCAAUAGAAGAUUAAGCAUGUGCUCGUUUAAGGCAUGGAUGAAGAUGAAAGGUGAAAAUUAAACACCAUAUCUUGGUACCAUUAAGAUGAACAAGCUUCAAACUUGAGUUACAAGACUAGGAUACGUCAUGUUAUUUGAUGCCCGUCUAUCUAUUUUGCAGAUAGCUUCCCUUUGAAAUAGUUGACAAUUCUAUUGAAGGCCAGCUUUCUCAUCUGAAAACAUAUAGAAAGGUCGAUAUUUUUUUUCAUAGCAGAAACAUAAAGAAACAUUCAUACUAUCAUUUUCCAGAUGCCUUCUUUUUUUUUGGUUGAAUCCAGAUGCCUUCUUCACCUUCGAGCCGGUGUGGAAAAAAGAAGCAGCACCAUCUUCCUUGUGAGAAACACCAACCCUUCUUCCACUUUUCAUUUUGUUCGCCUCACAAAACUUCUUGCAUGAGUACGACAAGUGAUACUGGUUGCGCUCAUCUUCUUCAAUCCCGUCGUCGUCGUCAUCAUGUUCGAGACGACAAAUUAAGCUACUUUGAUCGCAUUUUGUAUCACCAUGCUUGCGCUGAAUCGGUCCAGUAGAAGCAUCUGAAGCCAUAGAAUCAUUAUCUUCACCUUCACUCCCAUCAUCGCUUUCGUUCCUGCAGCGAUCAUUGGCAUCAUCCUCUUCUUCAUCAUUAGGUUGGAGCUCGGCAUCACUAUCUCCACCAUCAUGCAUGGGGGAUGAGAGGUACAUGGUCCAACCAGACUCACAGCUGCUGCAUUCUUCUGCCUCCAUAAUGAGUGGGGAAGACUCCAUAACUGUGAGAGAGAACAACAGACCUGAAGAGAGAGAACCCAGCAAAUUAACUGAGAGAUAAUUAGCUACAACUUCUUUAACAGCAACGCAAAGUGCUGGACUGAUGACACUUCGAAUCCCACUCCCUGAUGAGCUUCCUUCAGCAUUUAUAACUCUGAUUUCAUCAAUAGAGGGCAGCUGUCUGCAAGAUUCAAAAACAUCUCGAGUACAUCAUUUAUCAGGAUGAGUUGAUACCUACCACCUGAAACUUUACUGCAUCUUUGAAUCAUCUGACAGUUCUAUCGAUAGCAGGCAGCUUUGGAGCACGAGACAGAGAUCCAGAAGAACAAAAGAGAUGAACGCUUUGGCCUGAACUAUCCCGUGUACUUAAAUAUUUUGCCUUGCAGACCCAGUGCUCAUAAAUAAGAGACGCAGCCAACCCUCAUCAGCACUGCUUUUUACGCUUCUCACAACCUUUAAUUCUCUGUCUUGUCUUCAUACCAAAAGGCGGUGCUUUUUUACUUUUUUCUUAUUUUUUAAAGCUUAGUGUUGGUGCUGCAGUUGGUGAAAUUGUUAAAAGAGGUCCUUUCAUUAAUUAUCCAGCAACCUCCAGUGUUUCUCAUUUCCUUGUCUCUCUGUCCUAUGAGAAAGCAUGCAAAUAUUUAUUAAAGCAGGCUUUGCAUGGUGAUCUAGUUUUUUAUAGUGUGAUGACAGAAAGCCACAAUCAUUUAUAUCAUGUUGGUGCAGUGAUCGCCAUGAACACAGCUUCUCCAUAAUUUAUGGCAUCUACUUCUUAUGUUACACAUGCGAACUUGAUAAAUUAUCAAGAGCAUUUAGGUUGAAAAUAGGAUCUUAGGCUCUGCAUGUUUGAGUGGCCGCAUGCCCCUCGAUCUAGGGUGUCUUGUUGGUGGGUGGUCUCAUGCAUAUGGUCCACAGGCCGAAAUUGCACUGUUUCCUUGUUGCUAGUUGUCAAUGAAUGCACCUUUUUUUCUCUUCGAUGUCUAAAAUGAAAGGCUAAGGCAUUUAACUAUUGACUUAUCCUAACUCAAUAGGAAGUGGGAUCAUCUAAAGAACUUAAGCUAAGUUAGAGUUAGUGCAUCUAGACUUCCACUAGCAAUGUGUUAGAGCUAGAAUUCUUAUCCUAAUUAGGGCCGGCCAAACUCUUAGGCGACUUAGACGGUCGCCUAAGGCUCCGACCUAAAAAAGGCCCACUGCAGAAAAGACCUCAAAGACAAAAAAGAAAAGAAAAAGGUGCUUCUGAGUUCGCUUUAGGCCGGUCCACUGCAGAAAAGAUCUCAAAGACAAAAUGGUCUUAGGCCUCCAAAUACGUUGGGCUGCUUUUGAUCCUAAUCGAACAGAUACUGCCGAUUUAUGGUUGAAGCACUUGAUUUAUGAUAUACGUUUUUGUCGGCUUAUUAUAAUCUUGAAAUCAUAACACUCAAUUUUCCAGAAUUCAAGUGGACUCAGCUAGACUGAAAGUUGAGUAUUAAUUGAGUUUUUGUGCCUUUUGGAUUUCAUUUAUCAAUAAAGGACAAUCGUAGAUUCUUACUCUAACACCAAAAUACUCAUCUUAAAGAUGGGAAGGUGUUGAUCCUCCACUCCUUCCAUCUCUUGGGAAACCUAUGCUCGGAAAAGAAUGUAGAUANNNNNNNNNNNNNNNNNNNNNNNNNNNNNNNNNNNNNNNNNNNNNNNNNNNNUUACUUUUUUUAUUGUUUUUUUCCGGGAUAGAAAAAAUUUUCCCAUUCCAAAAGAAUCCUCUAGGAUAAAAAAAAACCCUAGAAAAGGUUAGGUAAAAAACUAACGUACGUUAAGACUUUUUUAUCUCUAUCUGCUCCAAUAACUGUAGAAGUAAAAAAGUUCGGGCUCCUCCUUAUACCUAUAAAUAUUUCUUCUCACUUCCUCCAUUACUACCUCAAGAUUUGUUUAAUUUGAAGGAAUGAAAUAAGUAUACUUCCAUGGCAAAUGCCACAUCCAAUCUUGAUGGAAGCUUUAUGAGAAGACUUCAAGUCUAGCACACAUUUGCUGGACUCAUAGGCCUAAAAAUAAGAAAAAUACUUGUUUUUCAUUCUACGCUUAGCAGUCUCGUAUGCAUGCAACAUACAAUUGUAUAUUUUAGAUUCUUAUAAAGAACAUAUACUUGUACAUCCAUGCUAGUGUUUGCUCCAUUUGGUUUACCUAGAAAGUAUUGCAAUUAGAUAAACCCUUACUUAGUAACGAUAAUUAAAUGUAACAAGAUAAAAAGGUGUGAUAAGUCACAAAGUGUAAGUUAAUUUUGCCCAUGCUCUCCACCUAGGAAAGAUGAUGGGAAAAUCUUAGUGCGGUAAGAGGUAUUUGCCGGAGGCUUAACUUUCACACUCUCGCCACCUACCGCAAACCAGCGACAGACAUCAUGAUUAAAAUUACUAACCCCACUUACCUUUCAAACUGCCACAUCUAACUCGUCCAAACCACAUACUCAUUUGUCAAAGAGAACAGAAGAGCUGACGAUAUCUUGCGAGGUUUAAAACCAUGGACAAAAGCGAUGCAUGUCAACAUACUGUUUUCUGAUUUGGCUCUUGAUGAAUAUGUAAGGACUUCCUAUAUUGAACCAACUUUUAAUUUUCAUCAAGUAGACUUUAAAUUAUCUGUGGAAGAUUAGACUUUAAAUUAUGCUUUUUCAGAACAAUAUUAUUAUGAAUUAAAAGUUAUUAAGUAAAUAAUCUUCUUUCAGAAAGAGUACUGGUGGAAGAUUUAUUUUGAUCAGAUAUCAUCAAAUGGACAACUAAUUGGAGCUGCACUUUCGAGCUAGGAAAGCAACUUGGUCCGUGGUGAACCAGUUUGCGUGAACCAUUAAGCUAAAUCCAUUUCAUAGUCACGGUGAGUAUCACAUACAUUAUUUUUUAGUUAUCAUACAGCUGCACAUAACAAUAGAGAAUCAAAUCCAUUUUAUAGUUAAUUAUAGUGGAUAUCUCUCUAAAAACAUGAGAGAGAGAGAGAGAGCUUACACAGUUAAUUCAUCUUUUUAGAAAAAAUACUGACUCACAUCAGGAUGCAAAGCUUAUAUAGUUGCACAUUAAAGAUACAAAGAUCCUUCAAAUCAUUUAUGAGAUUGUUUAGUUUGUUGAAUAGUUUAAUAGGUCUACUUACAGUCUACUAUCUUUUGCAAAAGUUUUUUAUUUAUUUUUUAUUUUUUAAAAAAUUCUUGAUAAGUAGUUUAUAUAAACUCUAUUUUUUUAAUAAAGGCUGGAUGGCUUUGCCGCCCUCCGAGAUGCUUCUUUGGUAUACUGUUUUAAAUGGGAUUAGUGUGCAUGCAAGUCAACGUAUAAUUUGAGUUCGUGGCACCCAGUUUCCCAUUGCUCACCAAUGGAACCAUAUGAUGCGAGAUGACUAGCUAUCCACUUAAACACCUUGGAACUAUAAUAACUUUCAAGAUAUAGAUGAAGGAUAAGGUGCCAUCCUUCAACUUUUUGAGAGCUGGAAACAAAGAUGACAUUAAUAAUGACGAGAAGGAUUAGGAGCAUACCUAACGUUGGGGCCGAAUUCCCACCAUCUUUUUCCUUCUACGUCAUACCGUGUUAGAGAGUAAUGACCAAGAUAAUGAUUUCGAUAACUUUACUCCCUAGGGGUUGAAGAAGAGUCACUAGCUUCUAAAUUUUGGGAACUUGUGGUCUAACAUUGUGGACAAAGGCAUUUUAUCCCCCCUGUUGACUGCUAUUCAAUGUCCGGUCGAAGCACAAAUAUGGACAAAAAUGAGCAGAACUACGUUGAGGAGUAGGUAUGACCGAGCGCAGAAACAAGACUUGAUUGUGUAUCAAGGAUUGAGCAUGAAACGAAACUUGGCCAAAAGAAUGAUGUCGUAGAACGGAGCACAUUCAAAUGAACGACCCUUUGCAUUAGAUCUUCUCCAAAUAUUAUCGUUUUUUUUAGGACAUGCUUUGGAGUAAUAUAUAGGGAGUACUCAUCACUUCUCCUCCCUCUCUCACAAUUUUUUUUACCAUCUUUCUCUUUUUUGUCCUCCUUGCUUCACACUGCCAUAUCUGCAAUGAAAUGUAUGAUGGUUUCUCCCAUGAAAGAAAGAAAGAAGGAAGAAUCAGGAAUGAAAAGAGAACAACCAUGAUCAUGACUCUUGCUCGAGAUCACUGCUUGUCUGAUGCUUGCUGCUGGGUAUGCAGACUCAAGGAAACGGGCUUUGCUAAGAAAGUUGGAUCGUCAUCUCCGGCCAUGGUCACCGCGAUCAUGGGCUCCAUGUCCAAAGGAAGAAUCGCCGGCUCUCCCAUCGAACUCGGCGAUUCCGGGUCCCCGUCGGAGGAGGGAUUGGAGCGGGAGCAUGCAAGCACUAUAAGGGCGAUGGCCAUGGCUACCAUCAUGGCUGCAAGGCCUCCAAAGAGAUACGGGAUUGGAGUGCGCCACAAAUUGGAUCCGGUUGCGCCGUGCAAGCUUUCAGGCCUCAUCUUCUCUCUCGCCUACUCUCUCGUGCUUUAGUUUGCCGCGCCUGGCCGGAGGAGCUCGGACGUAUGGGUUUUUAUAGGCGGAGAACGCGGUGCUGAAUACAGUGGAACAGAGAGGACGAAUUCUCGGCAGAGAUGCAUUGUUCCUGUGGGUCACCUUCGAUCGGAGCGUGAAAGCUUCUUCUUCCGUUUCCAUCCGUCCAAAGAAUCCCUUCGAAUUUCCAACUAAAAUAUAACCUGCAAGAUAUAUGAUUUUUAUUGUUUUAAGUACAUUAUUUUUUAGUAGUCAAAAAACUGUUACAUAGUAAUUAAAUAAUGAACACUAGAUUGCUGAGCAAAUAUUUCUAUCGGUAGAUGGCGAAUAGAGGGCUGUGUACGUGAUUUUUAAGUGAUAUUUUCGAACAUGCAUAUUUAAAAAUUUGAGCGUUUUAACCGUUUGAUUGCAGUUACUCACUUUAGGUGCUUGAUUGUAGGAUGAAAAAAAAUCACUUCAGGUCUCUUUGGAUUUUUGGUUCUUUCUAUGCUGAAGAGAUGUGGUCACCCAAAAAUGAGUGGUGAGGUAAUCCUCCGUGCAAAUUAAUAUGUUUUCUCUCCUUUAUUAUUACACUAUAUAUAUAAUUAUAUAUAUAUAUAUAUAAUUAUAAUAUUUUUGGUGCAGAUAUUUACUGAAUAAAGUAAUAUAACUUCAUUGGUAACUAAUUUUUGUUAUUUAGAUGAUAUUAUUUGAUAUUUAAUAUCAAGAAAUAUGAACUAUCUCCUAGAGGCAUGCGUUCGAUUAGUAAAAUGAUAUUAAUCUUGUAAUUAAAUUAAUAUUUUUUAAUUAUUAAGAAUGUUGAAAUUAUAUUUUUAGUUGAUUUUUAAUUGAUAUUUUUAUUAUUUGUUAAUCAGGAAUCAAACUCAUUUAGCUUUUGAAAAUAUCCUUCUUGAAAGUGCUAGCUUAUCGAUGGUAUAGAUAAUUUUUGGUACCAAACAAAGAAAUUUUUCAAAAUACGGGAUAUAUGAUUUGUUCUUUUACUAAACCUUUUUUUUGACUAUUUGUAACCUCAUUUCGUGUUAUAAUUUGAUACAAUAAUUACUAAUUUAUGUUAUAACAAGUGGAUUCUUUUUAUAAUAAUAAUGAAACUUACAAAAUUUUUCGCUUUUUUUGUUUUUUUUCAUGCACACGCGAAGAAAAGUUAAAAUAAAAUCUUCCAUGUCCAUGGUGAAGCAGCCCUUAAGAUAUUUUUUGAGGGAAGCAAAUGAUUUGGAGGAGGAAGUAAGAAAAGGAAAGGAAAAAAGGAAAUAUAGUAGCAAUGGAUUCUCUCAAAGACACAGUUUCAACUAUUCCUGACAAUGGAAGAUGGCGUGGAAAUGUUAUCACCGACGGAAAUCCAGUAUAAUUUUCUUACAAAAGAUGUGUACGUCCCCUUCUUACUUUGAGAAAAGAAGAAAAGGUUCCAUGUUAACACCAUGACACCAUUGCCCACAUACAACCAAUGAACGUUUAUCCUUCUUGCACACCGCUAAACCAUCAUCACGAGCCCCACCACAAACCUUCGAGCCACCGCAUUUAACAGCCUUUUUUUACUGUGAGAAUAGAAGAAAAAAGCUUUGAUGUUAACACCAUGACCCUAUUGCCCACAUACAACCAAUGAACAUUUAUCUACUUUGCACCGCUAAAUCAUCUUCACGAGCUCCACCAUAAACCUUUGAGCUAUCAUGUUUAAUAAUCAAGUUUGCUGACGUUUUUCAUUCGUUGGUGAAAGAUUUAGAGUUGAUGACAAAUGUAAGAGCGACAAAGAAGGAAAACCGCAUAUUAUAUAGCUCUUACGUGAGUACAAUCAUCCAAGUCAAGAAAAAGAAAAUGAUACAAGUCAGGAGGGAUAAUAUCCGUCCUGAUCCAUGAAAAAUCUCCGAAAUGCCGAGCAACGAAGGAAGCAAUCCAAUCUGCAACUUUAUUUGCCUCUCGAUACACAUGCGCUAUCUGAAAAGACUCCAUCUUUCUGAUCAGUCUAUAAAUCUCACAAAUCAACGUGUGACCAUCUUCAUAGCGAUCCACUCUCCAAAUCGCCUGCGCGAUAUACAACUACGCCGCCAGCCCACAUCGGCAACCGCCGUUAUUUUUUUUACUUAGAAAAGAUAGGUUAUUCUGGCACUCGUGCGGCCGAGCUUCCACGGCCAACCUUAUAUUAUUUUUAUUAAAUAGAGUGCGGAUGGCAUCACUUCUCUCUCGUGCGAAGAGAGAUGCCAACUGAUUCAGGUUAAGUCAGGUUGGCGAACGCCCCACCUCACAUCAUUUCAUGAAGUAUGGAUGAAAUGCUCUCUUUUCUUCAUGCAUGUCACCUGACGAAUACCAUCAACGGUAAUGAGGUCGAUGGGGGGAUGCAGCUACGUACUGUGAUCUGUGAAUGAGGACAUGCGAACGAGAACCCGUUGCUGAGAUCUGUUGAACUGCUUAAGCCCAGCCCAAAUGGAUUGGGCCUGAGAAUCAUACGGGCCAUCCCGACCUGUUGACACCCCUAUAGCUAGAGGAGAAAGUAGAUUGGAUAAUAUUCGUCUGAAUCUAUUUUUUAUUCCAGAUCUCAUCCGAAUACGGAUAGAAAGUUGAGCAUUCGACAAAUAUCCGUUAAAGAAAAAUGAAUAUGGAUAGACAAUCAUCCGAUCUCUAUCCAAAUAUUUUUAACACUAUAUAUAAUUUUAGAACAAAAAAAAAUACAGAGAUGCUACUUCAAAUUUGAGCCAUUUAUACUUAGAUCCCAAAAAUUUUAAAAAAUAUUAAUUAGCCAUUGAAACUUCAAAUUGUUAUAAUGUGGCCUAGCCUUCUAUAUAUCCAGAUCCUAACACUAUUAACGGAGUGAGAAAAAGGCAAAAAUACCCUUGAUUUAGAGAGACCGUCCUUUAGCAUUCAUCUACUUGUACAGAUUUCAAAGUGCUCUAAUCUUUAUGAUCCAUCCACCUGCAUACAUUUUAAAGUGCUUCAUCCUUUGUCAUUCAUUUGCUAGCACUGGUCUUAAAGUGCUAUGACCUCAAUGAUCCAUCCGCAUGCACAGAUCUCUGAGAGUUUCGUUCUUUGCAAUCCAUCCGUUUGUACGGAUCUCAAAACACUCGGCCUAUGAUCCAUCUACUUGGAUAAAUCUUAAAGCUCCUCAUUUGUGAUCCACUCACCUACCUAGAUCUCAAAGUGAUCCACCUUUAUAAUUCAUUUGUUUGUAUGCAUUGAUCUCAAAAUACUCCAUUCUCGAUCAUUCGUCCAUUUACAUGGAUAUUAAAACACUCCGCCCUUUGUCAUCCAUUCAUCUAUAUAGAUCUCAAAGUACUUAAUCCUUUUUUAUUUAUCUACCGGUAGAGAUCUCAAAGUGCUACUUUCUCUCUUCUCUUUCCUUCAAUUCCUGCCAAAUUUUAAUCUUGCUAUGUUAGCAGAAAGGGCAGUUACGAAGUUUUACAAAAAAUUAGUUAUCAUGUAAUUCUCAUGUGAUAACGUUUUGUAAUGGAGAUAAACGCUAGGCUAAAUUGCAAUGAAUUUAAAGUUUUGGCAGCUAAUUGAUACUUUUUAAAAUUUGAAGUUUUAAGUGUAAAUGGUCCAAAUUUGAAGAAAUGUCUCCGUAAUUUUUUCUUAAUUUUAUAUAACACUAAUAAACUUUUAGAAAAAAUAAAUGACCACAUUAACAUACUAUUAACUUGAUUUAUUAUCUACUUAAUAAUAUCUUUAAUUAUAUGAUCAUAAAGUUUAAUUAUCUAAUUUAUAUUCAUAUUUAUAUCCACACUUUCAAUAUACGAUUUGCAUAUGUAUCUAUUUGAAACAAAUAUUAAUAUAAAUUUCUGAAUCCAACUAACAUACAUAUUCAUAUCCGUAUUCAUCAAAUAAAAUAAGUAUGGAUUUGGAUAUACUAGUAUCCGAUCUGAUUGGAGCCCUUCUUGGAGCAGAAAAUAGUUUUGGUCAUAGGACAGAGUGAGUAAGGAUCAUGUUCUUUCGAUAUUUUUCUUCGAGUGGGAGACCAGGAAAAUUGGUGCAUGGGCACAGUGGAGUCAAUGAUAGCUAGCAAAUGCUCCCCACCCCAGAAGAAAGGUGUCGUGUGGAACUGUCGAUAUACUCCCUUGCCAAAAUGCUUCAGCCGGAAUGUGAGCCACAAACAUUUUGCCCAAAUCAAAAUGAAUUAGGCUUUUGUUCAAAAGUCCACACCAUGGAAACAUCUAACCCCACUCUAGAUCUGACCACGGUUCGGUUCUAAUCAGAAAACCGGACCAGAACCGAAUCGAAAAGAACCGGAUUGGAACCGGAACCGUGUCUCACGGUUCUUAACCGAACCAGAACCUUGAGAAAUACGGUUCGGUUAAGGUUCUAGAGUUGACGGAACCGAAACCGGAAUGGCGGUUCGGUUCCGGUUUGAACCGUUUUGAGAAACGAAAAUUAUCCCCAACACUAUAUAUACAUUUCCAAAUCAAUUUUUUUACCACACCACUCAAUCUUUCAAUCUCCCUCUCUCAAUUUUUCACUCUCUCAAUUAUUCAAUCUAUUUCAAUUCUCUACACAUUCCAUAACCUUCCCAUAUUUUCAUUUUUCCCAAUCCAAUUAUCAAAAAUGUCUUCCUCCCGCUCAAAUAAAGGCAUGGAAAUAUAUGUUCCAACCCAAAUUCUUGGGAUCCAAAAUUACCGACCCUCCUCUAUUGAUGAGUAAAUAAUAAAAUGAAGUACAAAUUAUCAUUUUGUAUUAAUUACUCAAUCUAUUUGUAUUUAAAAAAAUUUUCCAAGUUAAUUACACAAUCUAUUUUUUUUUCAAAAUUUUAUAACCAGAACCGUUUAGAAUCGGAACCGGAACCGGCGGUUCUAGAACCGGAACCGAACCGACUAUUUUCGGUUCCGCUUAAGGUUCUAGGUUUUUGUGGAAUCGGAACCGGCGGUUCCGUAACCGUGGUCAGGUCUACCCUACUCUACACCGCCAAGCUGCCGCUUCCAACAACCUAACGCAUAAUAAAGGCUCUUCUUUUUGUCAAAAGUAGUUGGAAUGUGCAGCUUAGAGAGUUUUGAACUAAAAAAGAAAUGAUAUAAACAAAAUAAGGAAUAUAAUCUUCAAGUGAAAGAAUAAUGGGAAGGGCUAAAGAGAAUUUUCUUGUUGUUUGUACCCUUUGAGGUAGGAGUAGAGCCAUAGCAAUUUGGCUGAGAUUGGCCAGCAUUUUUGAUCUGAUAAAAACUCUUUAAAGAACAUUAAAGGACGCCAAUCUUCAGUUAGGAUUACAUGGUUGUGGUAAAGCAAAUAACUAGGCUUCAAGUUUAUUCUUUUUCUUUUUCUUUUUCUUUUUUUGUUUGUGUGGGUGGUUGGGGAGAGAAUUUUGCAUUGCAUCGAGGUAAGCUCGAUGCCACAACAUGAUCUUAAAGCUAUGAAAAGCCUACAGGCCAUUGCGUGGCUUAAAAUGUAGUCUUUCAUGGCAAGACAAAUUAUACCCUACACUGCAUGCACCAACAUAGCUGUGCACCACGUCAAUCAACCUAUGGGCCAAUCACCGAGAUGAGCAUAUGAUAAAUGAAGCCUACAAGAAGGAGAUAAGGUAAUUGGAAUAGUGUACAUCUAUGUGGUGUGUGUGUGGUGUAGGAUAUAAUUUUUUCUGGUAACUUGUGUCUGACCGCCACCAUACACGAGCAAGAAACAUAGAAGCUCCGCACUUGUAAAUUGGCCUGGAGGCUUUGUGGUCCAUGUGGUAGUUUUCUACUAAAACAAUGGGAGCUGGUUACAAGUGAUGUGAUUAGGAUAGCUUAUUGUUAGCCUUCUAUAUAUCACUACCAAUUGCUUUAUGUCGACACAAAUUGCCAAUACGUGCAUUAAAUUCAAGGAAUCAUGUAUCAGAUGUCAAACAAUGGACGUGCAUGUAAUUCAGACGAAAUGCUGCAACUUUCAUUAUACCCAUGUCUUACUCGAAAUUGGUUAAGAUGUUAAAAUCCUCGUCCUAUCAAUAUAGAUUUUCUUUUUUUGGAGGAAGAUCAUAAUAGAUCAAUUUAUAGAUCAAGGUAUGACCAUGUUGAGGCAUGGUAGUCCUAUAUUAGAUAGAUGGAGGAUUUUUGUCAUGCUUAUACACUUUUAGGUCAAUCCAUCUAAACAUCCAGAUUUUCAGAUAGGAUCUUAAUAUGAUAUCAGAGCUCACCGAUCCUUUUUGUCUAUCAAAAUCUUCGUGCUCCCACUUGCUAACCUAAGUAUGGCCUCUCAUUCCGAGUUCUUUGGUUAACUAACCAGUUAUUCUCUUCUAUUAUUAUUAUUGUUAUCAUUAUUAUUAUUUGCUCCCACCCCACUUACUAAUCUUCAUGCUCCCACCCCACUCUUUGUUUCCUUAAUUUUUUUCUUGCUUCCCUGUCCUGAUCCUGUAUGCCUCCAUGCCGGUGCUGAUUGUUUCUCCGUGUACAUCAAUCCAUGUGCUUUGCUUGUAUAAUAGCAAAUUGUCAUAUCUAGCAUCCAAGGAGACAUCAUAUAAAAGACUGCUGUCUUGUAGCCAUUUUAAUCUGCUAUUCCAUUGCAUUACAUUUUAGUCUUUGUGAAUUGUGAUUAUAAAGAAUUGCAGUUUAGCCUUGCUUUGUUUCUGAAGAAUUUAAAAAGAAUGGAUAUUUCUUUGUAGCCCAAGGAGAUACUGAAUAUGUAACAUAGCAAAUACUACUCAUUUUACAUGUCCUAGAAAACGAAGCCAACCCCAGUCCUAUAACCACCUCAAAGUCUAAUUGAGCAAACCACUUGUAAGUCCUUGAGAGUCAAAAAUUUAACAUGAAACAGAUCUCCAUUUAGGUGCAAGAUCUCCGUCAACAUUGUUCCUCUAGAAUACCGUAGUUGGAUAGAUGGAGAUAGUGCGGAGGAAAACACAAUGGCAAUGGAGACAAUAUCCAGGGAAAAAGUCACUGCAUGCGUAGCUGUACCUUGAGUUAGGGAUGAGCGAGGUGAGAAUGAUUUCUUCCAUUUAACAAAACAAUUGAACUUCAUGUGCCCCAACUCCUUACAAAAAUGAUAGCAAAUAGAUUACAUAUCUUGAAGAGCAGGCAUCACUCUGUUGAUAAUACAUAUAGAAGAAGCAAAUAGGAUGUAUUUAAUAGGUUAUAGGCAACAACAUCUUGAUGGCAGAUUGCAGCAGACAUGCAGAUUUUAUGCAUUGACUCUCAUGGUUAGGCAUUGCUGGACUGAAUUGUGCCUAAGACCAUUACAAAAGAUCUUGAUACAAUAAUAACAUGUAAAUUUUUCUAACAUAUCCACCUAUGGAGCCUCAGGAGCUGCAGUUUUGCAGUCCUCCCAGCUCAACUAUUGGUUAAGAAGCCACAGAGCGCAAAAUAUACAAGACACAGGCUGGUUGCUGAUGGUAAUACAUUAGCCGCAUGAGGAAUGGUUGUUAAUUUGUUAUAUAUAUAUAUAUAUAACAACUAAUUAUACAUGACUUGGCUAUAUAGGCAGAAAAUAUAAACUUCAAUCGUUCCAAUUAUGCUGCUAGUCUAAUCUGUGAAUUACUAGAUAUGACUCAUCUAGAAAUUACCAUGUUCAUCUCUACUGCUGAGCUUUGACCUCUUCAAUUUAUAUAAAGGCUAACAUGAACCACAAGAUUUAUUUAUUUAUUUUUUUUUUUGUGAGAUAAAUGGUGGAAAAAUCACCCAACAUUUCAUUAAGACGAUGAAUAUUAAUUACAAGACAGAUGCAAGGAAAUGUUUCAGGGAAGGAGGAAAAGAGAGAGAAGAAACAUGGGGGAGGAAGAGAAGGCAUGACAGGAAAAAGAGUAACAUGAACCAAAAGACAGUUUCAUAAUUCAGAACAGAAAUGGUUGUAAAGCUAUGAGCAAUUCUUUACAGUUCCCAUGUCUUUAAAAAAAUAUUACUCAAGAGGGUCACAGUGAAGUUGCACUAAAUUUUCUUAUCUUUAGCUACUAAUCAUUGGAAAAAUAGAAACAGUGAAGUAACUCAUGCAUUCUGUCAUACGGCGAUCUCUUGCAGAAGAACUAGAAUGAAGGGACAAUGCCGUAGCUCGAGUCUGUCAUCACAGUGGUAGAAAAGAACUGAUCCACUUCAACAUCUGAUCUCUUAGCGAAACGGCCUUUAAUUCGAGGCCGGGUUUCAGCAUAUGCCUUUCUUGAUGCAUAUCUGAUUGUCUUCUCGAAUUUUCUUGUCUUCUUCUUCUCCCUGUAUCUAAGAACCCUGGCUUCUCUAUCCAUAGGAGUGAAUUGUGGAGGCAUUUGAAGAGGAAGGCCUGAGAAGAAGUCUAUGGUCCCUUUGGAAGGUAGAAGGUGAGAGUUCGAGAUAUCUGCCAUAGUGGUGUCUGCUACGCUGCUUGCUUCCAUCGGUGACAAGGAAAGCUGAAUUUUAGAGUCAAAAAGACAAGGAAAGCUGAAUUCAGAUCAGAAGAGAGAGAAUUCAUCAAUCUAAUAGAUUCGUUCCUCCAUUACAUUAAUCAAAAUGGAGAGAGAAGAGAGUUCUCUAAGCAAAAUGUAGCUCUUUUAUCUUUUUUUAAAGUAUAAAUCACAAGAGAUCGAGAUCAUGAAAAGACCAUAAAGACCUUCUAGAAACACUACAUGCCAAAGAGAAGAUUAUUAACAAAUCUAUCAAAGAGAAAAUCUUCUGCCACUCGGGUAUCAGAUAUCUAAUUUUUGGUUCUUAUUCACUCAUAGGAAGAUAGAUAGAAAUAGAAAUCCUAAAUGACCAGUUCCAAGGAGAGGAAUGGUUGUUGCAAUCCAAGACAAUAUUAAUAUUGAAUUAUAACGAAUAAAUUCUCUGCUCAAAAACAAUUAAAAAAAAGAGAAGAUCAGUAGGAACAGAAUCUAUUAUAGUAGGGCUUGUAGAUGUAGUCAUUAAAGAAAUCAUCGUAUUGGGAAAAGGACUUGGACCAAAUAGCGUCAAAUAGAUGACAAAAUAAGAGAAGGAAAGCCAUAAAAAAUCACAUAACCAUGAACAGAAUAUUCACACCGGAAGAGAAAUCACUGGUAUCUUAUCUUAUAGAGGAUAGAAAGAAUUUGAUUGUGGAUGCAUUAAAUUCAGAAUUUAUAUUAUUACGAACUCGUGCCACCCAACACUUAACUCUUCUUGCCACAAAACUGUAUAACAAUUCAUUUUUCAAGGAUAAUUCCCUCAUUCUAGAUGCUCUGUUAGUUUAAACUACUACUACUACCACCAGGAAAAAAGAAAAAGAAAAAAAAGAGAGAUACAGAGACCAAUAAAACUAAUAAGUAAUUUGAAAAGGAAAAUAAAACAAGCCAGCAAGAUAUAGAAGAGCUCAAUAGAAUCAACUCACGCUGUGACUAAGUGAAGCAGUGCAACCUAAAUUACCGAAUCCAGCUUCAGAGGAGGCUUCAUACUGAAAGCUCUGUUCGCUCCUCCCAUUGUUGUGAUCCGAUUGCUGCUGCUUCUGGCUCGUGCUCUGCUUCUCCGCACCCGAAUUGUACUCGCCGAGAUCCAAAAACCCGUCAACCUCCUCGCCGAAGAGGCCGUCAACGUUAUUAUGAUUGCUGUUCUUCACGGGAUCACGGAGCAGCCAUGACAGAACUGCGUCGUUAUCGUCCUCCUCCUCCUCCUCCCCAGGAAGCUCGGUCUCGGCCUUGCCGCCCGCAUGGUUAUUAUAGUAAUGGUUAAGGCUCGGCCGGACGACGAAGCCGCCGGCCCGGACAGGGAGGAUGGGGACGCGGUGGUGGCGGCGGGCGAGCAGGUUGGCGGAGUGGAUGUCAGCAUCGCAGGCAGCGCACAGCGCUGCCGCAUCGGCCCGGCAGUACACUGCGCACGGCGCCGACCGACACGACUCGCACGCCUCCGCCUUCACCAUAAGAUUCGUGGAGAUAUAAUUUCUUAUAAUCCGUAUGGGAUCUUCUUCUUCCCUCUCUUCCUCUGUUAAAGGCAACCCGGUCCGGUUGCUUUUGCUUCUUUGUCCAUUGGGGGUGACUUGACGAGUGGAAAGAAUCCGGUUGAUGACACGCGGCAGGAAUUCAGCGGUUGAGAGAUCUUGUGGUUGGCUACGGUUCUGAGUAGGAGAAAAUUAUUACACUAGACGGUGAGGCUACAAAUAUUUAUGACCACAUAUUUUUAACAUAUACAAAUAUAGAUAUAGAUAUGAUAUAGAUAUUAAAAUUAAUUUUUUUAUUUAUUUUGAAUGGAUACAGUAUGAAUUGGAUCCUAAAAUAUAUGUAUCCGUCAUAGAUAGAUACAAAUGCAAGAUCAAACUUUGAAUGGAGUUCAAUAACGAAAACUAACAUCAAUUAAAUAAGAACCAACAUCAAUGGUACAAAAGUAUCUACCAUCCAAUAUACAUGUAAUGCACAACCAAUUUGGUAAGAGUUGGAAGUAUAAAUAUACGUAUCCGUUAUAGACCGACAUGAAUGCAAGAUCAAAUUUUGAAUAGAGUCCGAUAAUGAAAACUAACGUCAAUUAAUAAGAACUAACAUCAAUAGUGAUGCGGGAUUUGCACCCCGUCACCAGCACAACCCACACACCAGCCGAGCAGGGAAAGCGACCGCGUCCUCACCGAGGUAUUGUCCACUUUGGGGAUCGNNNNNNNNNNNNNNNNNNNNAACCCACACACCAGCCGAGCAGGGAAAGCGACCGCGUCCUCACCGAGGUAUUGUCCGCUUUGGGGAUCGGGGAUCGUGACCGCUCCCGGGGGUCCGCGCUUUGACGGCGCCCCGGGUGGAACCACCCAUUCCACCCCUCAUGGGUUUGCCCUUCAAAAGGCGCCUCGGUGAGAAGAGGUUAUUGAGCCCCCCAUUUAAGGCACAGAUCUUUCCGCUGAUUAGCCGAUGUGGGACUAAAUUCGGGGAACCCCCCGUAACAAAUAGUAUAGAACUAUCUGCUAUCUAAGAUACAGGUAACGCACAACCAAUUUGGUAAGAGUUGAAAAUUUAUUAUAAAAUAUAGAUUGGCAAACAAUGAAGCCAAGGGUUUAGUUUGCCAAAUUACUAGUCUAACUGCUAGAUUAUUGAUCAGAUUACGUUUUAUCCACUCUUUGAAUUAAAUGGAUUUUAUUUUUUCAUAUUACACUUUUAAUUACAGCUUAACUAGAAAAUAAUUAUAAAUCAUCUGAUUUUUAAAAAAUUCUAAAAAAUUAUAUAUAAUAUAUGGAUAUGUAGAAGUUAUUGAUAUUUUAUUAUUUUAAAUAAUACAUUUUAAAAAAUAUGAAAAAUAAAGCAUAUUCGUUAUUAUUUUCUAUCAAAGAAAAGGAUUUUUGUAUAAAAAAAAUUAAUUAUUAACUUGGAGGGGAUUGGAAAGCUGUGCUUUUCAGGAUCAAAAGCAUUGCGGUCUUUCUCUCAAGUCUAAACACGAUGUCUUAUCUCAUCCUAAUGUAAAUAUAAUAUGAGGAGUCCGAGUACAAAAUAUGCUGAAGCUAAAUAGGUACUAUAGACAAAUUUUCCUAUAAUAUAUUGAUAAAGUCUGGCCACAUAAGAGGUCAUCCAAUCCACAGCAUUAUUCACGCCUCUAAAUAUAUGGGUUGUCUUAAAAUCCAUCGAGUCCUCCGCCAUCCCCUAAGCAUCCAUCAGAAGGGGAUGGGCACUCAGUCAAACAAUGUUGCCAACUUUUCAAGAAAGCUCAAUGUUCCAAAAUUAGUAUCAUAAAACAUUUGUCCGUUGCCUUGAAUCCACACGAAUAAUUUUCCUACUAUCUAAAAAGAAUAUAUUAGUAUAAUUUGCCAAAUUUAUUGUCAAGCAUAGAAUUGAUUGGACUAUAGAACUUCAAAUUAGUGGUCGUGACUCAUGACUUUUUGUGUGCACAUGACAAGCUCCCCAAAGCAUUUUUCCAAAUGGAAACAGGUAAGGCUUGUUUGGUUUGCGGAAAAAGGAGGAAAAGUGUAGUCAACAUGAAAAUAAUAAGAUGCCUAUUAUUUGGUUGGAGUUUUUCAAAGAAAAGAGACAAAAAAGUUGUAUUUCUAUAAAAAAUAUGAAUUUCACUGAGUCUUUUCCAUCAAAAAUAUGGAAAAAUAACUUUCUGUGAGUCGGAAAUCACUCCAUUUUUAUUUUUUUCUCCAAAAAAGCCCUUUCGCAUUAAAGAAGCAUUAAAGACCUAAUUUUUAUUAAGAGUAUAAUAGAAAUUACACAUAACUUUUUCGGAAAAGUGGAUGGUCAACCAAACAUAAGCACUCUAAAAAUUUGUCACUUUAUCAUUGUUAACCAAACAUGCCAAAAAUACUUUCUGAGGCAUUCUUUUUUCAAAAAUCUGCUUUUCAAGAACCAUAUUUCUAGAAGUGAAAAUGCUUUCCGCGAACCAAACGAGCCCAUAAACUAUAUAUCAUUUCAUCUCUUUGCAUUCGAAAUGGUUAUGUUAUGACCAGGACUAUGAAUACAUUCUUUAUUAUUUUUUUCCUCUCUCUUAUAUUUGCUGCGAGCGAAGUCCAAUCACAUCCAGCCAUAGGAGUAGAUUUAUCAGCUAGAUUGGCACUUUACCUCAUGGUCCCGAAGGACGCAGCGUCACCGUUCGUCUGCGCGCCACGAGUGGAACGAGUUUUUGACGUGGAGUCCGGACCGAUCGGCUUACGUGGUUAGGGCCUGCGAGCCGCACCAAACAAGUCUCCGCCACGAGAGUGCCGAGAUGCCAUGGUUGGUCAUCGCCUCGCUAUUCCUUUUCCGGGUCACAAGCGUGGGCUCAUCCUGACAGCUGACUAAUAAUAUAGUCCAACAAGAAAACAUAUAAGUUUUUCUAUCAGAAAAAAACAAUAUACAUGACAUGGAUGAGCAUAGAACGAGCCAUUCUAAAAACCACAUUGUACUUACACACGUGCUGUAUGCGCUGCUAUUGUGCCAAAAAAAAACACACACACACAUUAGAGUGAGGAGCAAAAAGGUGUAUUUUUUUACAUUUUAAAUAUAAAUAAUGCGAAUCACAAACAAUCGAUUAGGUUGGGUCCAAGUUCAGCUUAAUCAACUAUGUUCGCGGGUUGAAUUAGGUCUGAUUUGUAUCCAGAUUUAGAUCCGGUCUUUAAACAAAUUCUUAGGAGCAAUCAGAAAUAAUCAGAUCAGGUUCAAUUUUAGCUAGAUCAAUGUCUAUUCUAAAUUUCUAAUUAGGUAUUAUGUUUCGAUAUGGUACUUGGGUUCUUGUGGAAAUCCAAAACAAAUCAGGCACAGGUCAGAUCCAGGUCUCCUCAAAUUAUGUGCAAUCCCCUCAUAGUUGCAUUAGGCAUUUUAGUUUCACCAACAUAUUUUAAUAUAAAGCAUGACGCGAGCAAUGUGAAACAGGUAUUGUGAGCGUGGUGAGAAACAGGGUUUGGAUUUGCAAAGAAGGGUUAACAAGGGGUGGUACUAUAUUAUCCUUGCAGAACUUAUUUUUUGGGUAAUAUUAUCCUUAAUAUCUGUCUAUGAUAAUGUAUUGCAAAGUCAAUCUCCCAAAUAUUUUAGAACAUAUACAUUUUAUUUCUAGUUAUGAUUGUGCUUAUAUUCCAGUGAUUAGAUUUCAUAUAAGUUUAUCUGGCCUUAGUUUCAGAUUUGCAAUGAGUUCAUCAAAACAAGAGCGAGUGCCCCUAGGAUCUCCUAGGCAUGAAAUGUUGAAAAACAUUUUUGGUGACCCUAUUUAAGAUAUUUCACUCUUUUGCAAAUCUGGCAAAAAUUACAUUGAUAGGAGCACAUCCUCCAUGGAAUUUUAAUCCAAGGCAAGAUGCCAACUUUUUCCUCUGACGACAAAUAUUUGAAAUCUUCUUUUGCAAGCACUUCUUCUAUCGACCCACGAACUAUUGUUUAUUCUCUCAAUUUUCGUGUCAAUAGCUUCCCCAUGUUAUGAAAGGCUAGCCUGGGCUAUAGUGCCUGAAAAUUGUAAGCCCUUGAGCCUAGGUUAACCAAGCGGCCUUUAAUUUGUCUCACUUAACAAACAACUAACUGUACCAGUGAUAUUAUUUGCUUGAUAAGAAAUUUCAUUCACUACCUUAUGAAAUGGCUUCUAAAAAGUUCCAUGACAGUUCAAUUCAUGCUUCUAACAUGCAAUUUGCUGUUCUUAUAGCAGUCUUCAGUUCCAAAAUACUGCAAAUUAACCGGAUAGACCAAACCUCACCACCCUGCACAGCCAUUGCCUUCCCAUAGUCAAUUGUUCCAAAGCUAAGACUGAGAUCUAUAAAUGAUAUUAAACAGAAAGCAUGGAGUUGAUUCUCUAAUCCUUACCAUGGAAGGGAGGGGGAAAAGAGAGAUUGUUCGUUCAGCUCUUACUAAACUAAACAUCAUGAAAUUUAUUAUGCAUAGACAAAGUGGCAUAAAAUACUACAAGAUGUUCUGUCGUUGUAUACAGCCUUUUGAGUUCACUUUACAUAAGCUCACCAAAUUGUUAAUUACAAAACCAGCAGCAUCCUCAAGAUUGUGUGCUGCAUUAUUUUAACAGUGGCUUGUUUAAUAUGAGUAUAAUUACAACCGGCAUAUACUGCGCCAAGAACUAGAACUGUUGCUAAAUUGAUGAUUUCUUUUAGAACCACAAAAAAUUGUAUUUUCUUAACAAGAGAGGAUAACAAUAUGGCUUCCAAUAAAUUAACAAGUCGAAUAGCAAAAAGAAGAUGCACUAUAACUUACAUAAAUAUGGCCCCAACUAGCAUUUUCCAUUGAGCUCAAGAUGAGUACUUUGAUAUGAGCUUGUCAACAUGAAAGAUGAUAUCAUCAAUGUUAGGCCGGAUUGCAGGUUGAGGCUGAAGCAUCCAAACCACAAAUUGAUGGAGGGGCUCAGGAUAAGGGGGGUCGGGACCAGAAGGCCAUUCUAUCUGUGCAUUCAUACCAGCCAACUGUAAGUUUCCUCCAGAUUCACCAAGUACAUACUCAAAAGGAGAUGAGCCAUACCUGCGAGGACCAGCAUUUCAUAAUGUCAGAGCAUCAUAUAAAAUCUAGAAGAAUUCAUCCUUCUGCUUAAUCUACAGAAUGUUGUGCAUGGAAUUCGAGAUCUGAUUGGAUGAUGCUAUAACAGAUUCAUAUGUUACAAGAUUGAAAGAUAAGAUGAGGGAGAGCAAUGGACUAGUUCUCAUCAAUAAACUAUAAUUUCUAACCACUGGACAGAGUAUAUUUGUCCUUUCUUAAACUUUUUCAUCAAUAGUUACAAACGAUAACAGAAAAUUAAUAAAAACAAAUAUUAGAAUUACCUAUCUGAUGGGGGAUGUUCAAUUACAGCAGUUCGGACCACCAUUGUGCAGAGCUAUUAUGAGUGAUAAAUUUUGAACAAUAGAAUUGAAUGAUCAGGGUCCAAGAGCUGAUAACCUAGGAAGCUAGAGCUUUUAAUAUGAAAACCAAACAAGAUUUUUUUUUUUUUGCUAAGGUGGGUAAAUCAUACAUGACAAGUACAGAUGCACCCAAUAAAAUCAAAAAACAGAAUGCCUCGGAGUGCCAAGGGCAACUCCCCGUCACCAGCCCACAGGGUGCUACCGGAGUGGCUGGUUACAUAAGAAGCCACCCAAUCCACAACCCCAUUAGCUUCACGGAACACAUGCUUGGCUUGAAAGCCCCGCCAUCCCUCACCAUAGCCCAGAUGUCUCACAGCAACGGGUGGGCGCAACCGUUGCCCCUAGAGCCCCUCCGGAUCCAACUGAUGACAGUGGCCGAGUCCCCCUCCUAGACAAUGAAACUAGCAUGUAAGAUACAUUGGGCGUGACGAAGGCCCGCCCAAGCGGCCUACAGCUCCGCACUCGGAACCGAUAUGUCGAAGAGUUGACUGCCCCCAGCAGCCACAACCCUAACAGACGAGUCCCGAUUAACAAAAUCCGCACCACCCUAUGUACCUCCAUCUAAGACGGACCCGUAGAAAAACCAAACAAGAUUUAGGAAGCACUUCUAGUGCGGAAAAAAAAAGCAUGAUGAGGUAUUUUUGAGCAAAUAAUUUGUUAAAGGCUACCAUGUUCGUAUAAUAUCCUGUGCAUACAUGCAAAACAUCAUGUGAUCUUCUUACAAUCACCUUUAAAAUGGAAAGAGAUUCCCAAUGCACAGCUGCAGUUGGAAAGUCCCAACCAUGUUCACAUACCAUUCUACUGUUAUUCUCAUCCACAUAGAAGAUAUCCCUUGACCAUACAAAAAGAUAUCAUCAUGUACAACCAUAAGCCAAGCACCCCACAAAUUUUAUGUGCGCUGUUUCACUAGUGUUACAGCAUCACCUUUUAUAGGAAUUGCAUCCACAUUGUACAAACAAGCUCCUAAUUGACCCCCUGUGAGCUAUUUUGAAACUCAGCCACAUGUACAGUUCUAAUUUUACCAAAAUAUACAUAGCAUAUCCAUUAUCCAGCAUCAUGUAAUUAGAGAAGCUGAAACAAGGAAUAUAUAUAGAGAUCUAUCAUGACAACCAGCUUUGUUCUGUUUUUGUUCCUAUCAAUCGAGUAUUAAUUAUCCCUGUUACUACUCGUUUACACAUUAUAUAGCUUUUGAUAUCAUUCUGUUGUUUUUUUUUUUUGAAGGAAUCAUUCUGUUGAUUUGUGUAUGCAUCACUUAUACAUUUAGGGCAAUGCAGAGUCAAUGUAAAUGCUUUACAAUUUCCUUACAACAUGAAGGCACAUUAGCAAUUGCAAAUGAGAGAGAAUAUAAAUUAUUAGUUUCCAUCAAACAAUUACAUGUUGGGUGCUUAUGUUUCUAUACAUAGACAUUCUUCCGUAGCUUCAAGGAUUAAAACAAUCAUAUAUGAUUUGCUUUCAAUAAUUAAGCCUCAUCAACACAAUCAAUUUACAAAAGCCAAAAAUCUAAAGUUGCAUAUUGGUAAUUAUGAAAUUAUAUAUAUAAUGAAUAUGUGCAAAACAAUGAUUCUGGUACAUGCAUAGCUAGGAAAGUUGACCUCAUAAUUAAGAAAAUUAAGUGCAGAAAGUUAAAGCAUAGUCAGAUGAGAAGAUAUCCUAACAUUAUUGCGUACAAGGUACAUCCGAGAGACCAUAUAUCUGUCCUCUCAUCAAUGUUAGCAUGGCUUGGACAGUCCCACAAUUCAGGAGCUCGGAAGGGUGCAGAACAGUGCUCAGCAGCCCAUUCCUAGACAAAAAUAUACAAAAAUAAAUAAAUAACAAGUUUAACAUAUCUUCUGUUGCUGAAAAAGCAGUUCCAUAUACAAACAAAAAAAAUAAUUCUUGUAAAUGCUUGUAAAGACAAUCUAUAGAACUACAUAUGCAACAGAACUUUAGCAAUAUGUCUAUUUCCUGCAUCUCUGAAAUCGAUUAUGCAGAUUCAGUUACCAAAUAUUCUUCUAAAAACUUAGAAGUUUAAGCUUCAAAAAAUGCACCAAAUAUCUAUUAACCCUACUGUCUGAGAACUAAUAAUUAAUCAUGACAUUUAGAAACUCUGUUUUGGUUGUUUAGGUUGGCCUGAAUGAGUUUAAAUUUUGGCGGCUUUGAUGGUGAAAUCUGAUAUCAGAUGUUCCAAUGCAAAAAUAAUAAAGAACAUCCACAAAAAUAAAAAGACUUAGAAAAUUAAGUAAAUUAAGCCAGUACUACAUAAUUUAUCAAAGUUACAACGUGUUGUCAAGAAUCUCUGGGUCUAUUAUGUAAUACAAUUUUGAUGGGUGAAACCAUUCUAUAAAAGUGCAUAAUAUUAUUAACAAAAGAAAAUUGCCAAAAUCUUAAAAAAAAAAGGAAACUAUCCAAGUUAAGAAAACACAUUAUAUCAUUCUAGACUACAAAAUUAUUUGGUGAGAAAAUUAUGGCUUCUACAUUCAAACUUGAGACAUCCUUAAAAUUUCAGAGAUUUAAACCCCCCCACCCCCACCCCCCACCCCACAAAUGUUCAGCCCAGAUCGUGCACAUGGGCUAGACUGGGGGCAGGAUGACGUCCGAGAAAAUAAAUAGAUAACCAGCACGAAGGCGAUUCAAACUUUGUGACCUACAACUAGCCUGAGCUUUUAUACCACGUUAACUAACCAAUUGACCCAAAAGCUGAUAGGAAAGGAUCAACAAUGUAUAUCAAGCUUACCACUGAGAUGUAUAAGUCAAGAUCAAUAAUGUACACUUUCAUUUGUGUCACCCAUCAUGUAAUCUGGCACACUAAGUCUUCUUGCGUUAUCAAUAAAAUAUCAUGUCGAUUUGAUGCAUAAGUAUGAACUCCGUACAGUAUUUAAUCUUCAGUUUUUAGGCAAUUAGAUGUUGAAAAUCAUGAUACUCGAUGUCUUGGGCCCGCUUGAUCAGUGAAUCAUAGCACUCUAUACAUGAGUGACAUGAAGAAUUGUGAUGCAACAGCCAUACAUGACUCCCAGACAUUAUGGUGUCUUUGUCUUCUUAUAUCUCAUAGCCAAGGACAUAUUUCAGGAAAAUACUACUUUAAACUAGUUGUCACAGAGAUGCUAAUAGGGUGAGACCUUCAUGCUCAUUGGCACUCCCAAUGCUUAGCAUCCUCUAGCGGGCAAAAGUUAUUUCCUACUUCUGAAAGACUGAAACUCUUGGAACACAAAAUGUACAGCUCCUCAACCAACUUUUGCAUCUCCAUACAUUGGCCACUUCAUCUUUCUCAUGACUCAUCGACACCAAAUAAUAGUUGUCUAAUAAAAUCACUAAAAUAAAAGAAUACUUUCCAGGAUAAGUGUUUAUUAUAAUACUUUAGCAUCCAGACAUAAUUUUAAAAUAGUAUUACCAAUGAUAUAUACUUGAUAUACUAGUAAUAACAGGAUAAAAAAAUUAUUUGCUGGCAUGGAGAAACAUAACUGUACAAUCAGAAAUAAUGAGUUUCUUACCUGUACUUGUAAUGCCUCUGCAGGUGAACGAAUUUCUUUUCUUGCAGGACAAGUGCUUCCAAAAUCCAUUAGAAUGGCAAGAGGUGGUUGUCCCUUUCGAUGUGUUAUCAUAAUGUUACCAGGUUUGACAUCAUUAUGAGCAUAUGGAGGAUCAAAACUGUGCAUGUGCUUCAGUCCUGCACAAAGCUAUAUAUUGAACUAUGUUAACUAGCAUAUCAUCUUUAUCCAUGUACGAAAAGCUAAUUGGGAGAAAACACAGCAAAAUUUACAGUAAUGAAGAAGUAUAAAGAACAAGGUAAAAAUGCAGGGGAAGAAAAAGCAGUCAUGUCCAAAUAAAUGGAAUUUUAUGUUUCAAAGCUAAUUCUUGACUGUACAUCCAGGCUGGAACUGAAAGCACACAACCAUUAGUCUCACAUUAGAAAAAUCUAUAGCUGCUAGCACUAAUUUUGCAACAAAAGUUAGCUGAUUACUUCAUUAGAACUUAGAGAUGAUAAGUCUCCAAUAUUUCCGUUUUUGUAUUCGAGAUUCUAGUGUCAACAUGACAAGUUUCAACAAAUAAUUUGAAAAAUAAUUUUGGAAUACUAAAUCUUAAUUAUCCCCUUUAGAAACAAAGUGAGGAUCUGUUUAGCAGUGGUCUACCACUCUACCUCAGCAUUUGAUCUCAGCUAAUUUUGGAGUUCUAACUGAGCAUAACAGCACACAUCUUGCCUUUCCAAAGACUGAAAUGUUAUUCUGUUAGUACACCACAUCUCUCCUACUUCCCUCCUAUCUCAAGCUUACAUUCUUAAUGAAGUAUACACAAUAAAUUAAAAAUGAGUUAUUUUAUAUGAGAAGGAAAAUACUCGUGAGUAUGUUGAAUCAUUUUCUUAAAAUAAAUCAGCUGAUCCUUGUGUAACUAUGUACCAGUUUAUAUAGAAACAAGAAAGACAACAUUUUCACAUAAUCAUGAUAUGUACCAGCUAAACGUGGAUUAACUUAAAAGAGAAGGCUACAAGUUCAACAGUUAUCCAGUCAUUAUGACAAUAAAAUAGUUGUCAGGAAUAACUGCUCUGCAUUAUGAAUAAAUAAUUAGGACACAUGCACACGUUGAGUUAAUGGAGAACCAAUGUGGAAGCAUUACAAGGUUGCAGAUUUCGGUGCAUCAGCAGCAUAAAUUGUACACACAAAUUAGGAAGAGACCUUUGAAGAACCCUAUAAUGAUACAAACAUCAACACUUCUUUUAUGUUUGGAAAAGAUUACCCUGCAGAACUAUGUAGAUCUAGUGAAACCUUUCUUUUAGCACAGCACAGAUAAUCCCUCCUAAAGCAGCUUAAAGGCCUGUUUGGCAAAACCCUGCCAGAUCCGAUGGAUAGAUGGAGAGAGAGUGCACUGAGGGGAGGAAGGGCAGGAGCGGGAUAAGGGAGAGAAAGAUUGCAGGGGAUCAUGCGCUUGAUCCCAGCAGGAUUUCUUUUUUUUUUUGAAAAAAAAAGACCUUGAGAGGCCUAUUUUUCAAUUCAAUCGGGACCGGGCCUUGCAAACCCCUGCCCUCUCCCUCUCCUGCUCCUUCCCUCUCUCCCCCAUCCCACGCUCUCUCCCCCUCCAGUCCCACCGGAUCCAGCAGGAACUUCCCAAACAGGCCCUAAAAGUGCUUUUUUUCUCACUUAAAAUCUGAUUUCGACAUAUAAAUAGCAUUCUACAAAUACAUUAUAAUACGUACAAUUUACUGUAUUUCUAGAUAUUUCUAUAUUCUCUUUCAUUCUUUUGAUUGUUCCCUAUUAUUCCAAAAUUUUCUAAGCACUUAAAGAAUCCUACUUAUCCAUGGUGAAACUCCUAUAUGUCCUAAAAGAGGAAAUAAGCUCUUCUUGUGUCUUUGUUUUCUUCUUUAGUGAAAGAACUAGCAUAUUUUAACUCAUCCAGUGGAUCAUGAUGGAUAGAAUCGAGGGUACAAGAAAGAAUGCAAGUAAACUUACGAUAGUAUAUCCACAAGGGCCAUUUAAAAAAAAUGAAAGAAAUAAUUAUGACAUAAUAUAAUGUAUUUGACAACAUGCGCACAUGCACAUCUGUUUUAAAUUUAUAAAACUAAUAAGAUAUAGUAUUUUCACAGCCAACAACAACUGCACAAAAGGAAGGAUAUUGAUGGAUGCAUACCUGUCGGAAUAUCUGAAGAACAGUGAUUGUUGGAAAAAAAUCCAUCUUUGCUUGCAUAACUUUAGUAACAUCGAGUAAAGUUCCAUCCAAAUGAACAGGGAACAGUAAAUAAGCUUCACGAUUCUGUGAUCCUUGUUGCGCACCCUAGAAAAGCACAGUGACUAGUAAUUACAUCUAUGAUAAUAAAAAUCACAGAGAAACUAGUAUAUAGAGUACCAUAAUAAAAAGGCCGAAUCUCAGUCUGCAUGUGCAACUAACAUGACAGAGCUUCUAAGACAGUAAAUGAUUUCUUCGCCUCAAUCACUACAACAGAAGAUCCUUCCAAAUUAUGAACAUGGAUGCUGAGAAAGAGUCUUUUAACUAUCAUGGAGAAUGUUAUCAACAUAGUAAAAUUAUAGAUGAUAGCUGAUCAGUAGCAAAAAAAAAAGAAAACAUUUUUGGAACUUUAGAAAAUGUACAGCUCUUUUGCUCAGUUAUGCAUUAUAUAACACAAUCAACGAUUAGUUUGGAUGCGUAGAACAAUUCAUAAAAAGAAUUCUUAUAUCAUUAUCAUGUUACAAAAAUUCUGAUGCUAUUGGAUGCUAAAGCAUAUAAUAACCCAUUCAGAAGUAGAGUUUCGAAACCUUUCGAAACAAAAAGGUACAGAAAAUAUGUUUAUAUAACUCCUAAUGUUAUAAAGUGGAUAGUUGGCAAAAUAGCAGUACUUCAAAUGGCUAUGUGAAACCAAGAAUACAACAACAAUUUCAAGUGGGUACAGAGAAAUUAUAGAGCAAGAACAUCAUUUUUAAUCAGAAAAGUUUGACCCUCCAAUGUCACUAUUCAAAACACAGCAGUAAUGUCCUUCUAUCUAUGCUUCAUAAAUUUGAUUCCUAAAUUAAUAUCUUUUCUUAUGCUAAAAUUGACAAAAAAAUGAUCGAAUGUUAAUUUGCACCCACAGACAUCAGAAAGGGGGAGCUGGAGAGACUAAAGAGCACCAGUACUACUAAGACUAGAGAGAGAGACAGCAAAAAUGCGCUUUUUAAAUAAUGCUAUAAUCAAGUAUUCUGGGAAUCUUAUUCAAUGACUAAAUUACCACAUGGCAAGCAAUGACAUCUAUGUAAGGUAUGAUAAUAAGGUUUAGAUUUUCAAAAAUUUUGCUCCAAGCCUUCUAUCCAAGUCACCAAUAAAAUGACUGAUUAAUGAACAGCUUUCAGCGUAAUGAUAAUCCUCUAUUUUUUCCAUAUGUGACAGGAAAUAGUCAGGCAGUUUGUUGCAUAGUAGUUAAUUAUAAAUAUAAUACAUUUUUUAUUAUUUUAUUACUCAAGAAUCAAUUAUUUUCAGCAAAAAAGAAUUAAAACAUAGAUAUGCUACUUCGCAUAAAAGCAUCAAAGCUAGUCCCAUUAUUGGUGAAAAAAAAUGAUUUAGAAGAAAAUAUUUGCUAAAAGGAGUAUGCUAAUGGUAGGAUAUACCCUUCAAGUGGCAUGGCAAAACUAAAUUGUUGUUAUGGUAAGAAAUGGGCAUUGAGUGGAUAGAAAAUCCCCUAUAAAUUCACUAUCCUGCAAAUUAAGCAAGGACUGGCCCAAAAUGUUCCUAGGAAGACACAUAGCAUGGAGGAAAAAACUAACAGGCCAAAUUCACAACAGGUGAUUUGGAGUGCUAUCACCCCUAACUGGAUUUGUUUCCAUCAUGGGCCACAUAGGAUUGGUUUAUAAGUGGUAUCAACCAUACGAACCUGAAGGCCAUUCUAGAUCUGUCAAUGUGAGAUGAUUCGAACUUCUAUAAGCCCUACCUAAAACAUUAUGAGCAACAUACAUGGUUUUUAUUCAGUUAGAUGCAUUUUAUAAUCUUAGAAAAGUGAAAGAUGUAGAUAUAAUAUAAGAGAAAAAAGGAAAGGAAGAUUCAUAAGGAGAUCUACACUUGAUUUAGUAACCUACCAGCAACAUGUAGUGUCACUUCAAAAUCAAUUUAUUGUAUUACUGUAUUUUAAAAAGGUUAUAUGUUUCAGAGCUUUAUAUGAAGAACAUGUUUAAGCAUAAGGAUUAGAUUGGUAUGACACUUAUGUACAAAUAACUGGUAAAACAUUGAGUAUUUUUUUUUUCAUUAAAGACUUUAUAAUAUGUUUCCAAAAGUGAGCAAUUUAUAAGUAGCAUACCUGUUCUCAAAUAUCUAAACAAGAUCUACAAACAUAUUUUGGAAAAUUUACUACAUAUUGUAUGAUAAAAAACAAAUAGUUUGGACUCUAAUGUUCAUAAUCGUUAGAACUGAUUCUGCACUUAUAUUCCAAGUAGAGUUAAUUAUGUAUUUUUUUAAAAAAAGUCCUUCACAGUUUUCAAUAUUUCAUAUUUAUUUUUCACGUUAUCAGUUUUUUGAAUAUCUAUUCAUACUAUUCUAGUGCUUAGAAACUUGGUUAAUAUAUAUUCUUUUUUGUUAGCAUUACCACUUGGAACCAGUAUCAUAUGCAGUAUUUUUAUUUUAUUUUUUGAACCGUUAGGCAUAAAGAGCGAGAGUUUCCACACCAAAGAAAAAGAGGGAUGGUAAAAAUGCUGGUCAUCUGAAAGGAAAAAAUCAACCUGUCUCUCAAAACAUGGGAGUUACCAAAAAAAAAAGAAAAAAUGUUAUCAGAUAGUACACUUUUAAGAUGAAGAGUCAAUGUUAUAAACUAAAAUAAUACCAAAAAGACAGAAGAUUUAUUGUUAAAAAUAUAUCAUAUAACAAAGAAACAGGUGAAAGUAGGAUACAUAAAGAUGCUAACAUAUAGAUAAAAUAAAUAAGUCAUUAAGUAUGCGAAGAGAUUAACAAAAAAAAAUGUUACCAGUUGUACAGUUUUAAGAUGAACAAUGUCAUGCACUAAAAUUAUACCAAAAAGACAGAAGAUUUGUUGGUGAAGAUUUAUCAUAUAAUAAAGAAAAAGGUGAAAGUAGGAUACAUAAAGUUGCUAACAUAUAGAUAGUAUAAAUGUCAUUAAAUAUGUGAAGCAUCAAUUUUGCAGAAAAGCAAAACUGUGAUGCUAGAGAUUGAUUGCUAGGUUUCAUUACUACAAGACAUUGACAUAAAGAGGAUAAGAAGACACUUUACGUGAUAUAAAUACCAUGGCUUACCCCUAAUUUCAAGGACAACAUACAGAUCUAUCUACAUAAUUAACACGCACAUUUGCUUCUUCAGAAGCAUAACAGUACAGGAUAGUUUAAUAGAAAUGACUCCAAAAGAAAUAAAAUUGGAGUACCUUAACUGCAAUAAUCGCAUGAUCAAGAAGGGGAAGCAGAUUAGGGUGAUUAAAUAGGGAUGAAACACGGAUCUCCUCCCUAACCAACUUUAACUGCUCCUCGCUUUGGAUGGGAACUUUCUUCAUAACAUAUGUUCCAUCAUCUGAAGAAAAUUCAGAUCUGGAAUAACAUUAGCACAUCUACCAUUGAACUGAUGAGAUGACAGGUAAAAAAAUAUUAAGUGGUGUAUACUUAACUUUAGAAAUUACACAAAAAUAUCACAUUAAGAAAUGAAAUGACAUGUUUCUAUUGCAUAAUGCAAGAAACUUAAGUGAGGCUGAACAUUGCCACAGAGCCUGCAUAAGUACAGUCCUUUGAUUAAUACAACCUCUUGAUCUUGUCUGUAUCAGAAUAAUGUUUGAGAAAGAGAGAGGAAGAGAGGGAGGCAAACAAAAUAAGCCAAAAUGGGUUUGGCUUUACCAAAUCAUAUAACCUAAGAAAUAAUACCACCCAUCAAAUAUCCUUACCAUCAAAUUAGCCACGUGAAUUGCACAUGCUAUCAUAUAGAAGUGAUAACUAGGAGAUUGGCGUAUUUGAAAGCCAUGAAAUGUUCUUCUGUUUCUUUUUUUCUUUUUUCUUUUUUUCUCUUUUUGGUUUGGCAGGGAGGGGGGAUUUUGUUAGUUGGAUAGUUCCAUGGGAGAAGAUCCCAGGGUGAGUUCAAAUACCAUCCAAGUUAAUUAAGAUUGAUCUCCCUAUGUGGAGGAGAUAUUCUAACUCUGCACUGCAUAUCAUCCAAACUUUAGCCACAGUUCUACGGAUAUGAUUUACAGCUGCAGGAUACAUUGGAUGCCAUCUAAAUUGCAAAUCCACACCUUAGUCGUGGUCUGCAACAUCUUAUAAUGACUUGAAGACAAAUAUCAAAUUAUUUGGAGGGCUUUUACGUAUGAAUUGAGUGGAUACAAAUGGACAGUUUUCAAUAACAGGAUCGAUGGGCUUCUUUAAUUUAUGGCAGGCUUAUUUGAUUUAUGGUUUAUAAGUACUCAAACCUAUUUAACUUUAGUUAAUGCAUUUUAAGAUGUAUAAAACAUGACCAUCAACAAUCUAUUUUCUUGAUUUAUGUUCCACUAUGAAUUUUGCUACGAAAGUAGCACCAAAAUACUCUUGAAGAAAUUUGAAUAUCAAAAAAAAUUCAUGUGAUAUGAUACGAUGCUGUGCAGUCUAAGAAAAACCAAAUCAUGCACUUUGGCAGGGAAAUUGCAAGUGGGCCUCAAACAAAAUCCAUAAACCAGUAGGAAUUCAAAAAGGAAUCAGUGAAUGUCUAAGGUGCAAACAACUCUAAGAAAAACAGCACCUUGUAAUUUCCAGAAAUUUCUUGAGGUUGUGUAGGUACUAUUACUUAGCAUGAACUAUCUAUUUCAACAUCCAUACAGAUUCUCCUGUCCUUUCACUCCAAUUAUACAAGAACUCCAGCAAAAAUAGCAUCUUUAUAUUUAUCUUUUUCAUACUGUGACCUCGCAUGCACUAAUGUCUUUGUUGAGGUAUUCAAAGCAUUAGGUACGCAAUUAUUAAAAGGAAAAUUAUAAUUUAUUUCAAAAUCAUAUAAUUCUUCAGAUUUAGUAGCCGAAUAGGAUUAAAAUUCCAAGUUUGCAGUAUAAUAGCUAAAAGGGAUUCCUAGCUUCUGUUAUCGGUAUGCUCAAGGAUAUGCAUCUACAAGAUACAUGUAGCUGUGCUGAUAUGUACUCAUGUGGUACUUUCUGUAAAUCAUAGUGACUAAUCCAUUCCAAACGGCAUGUUGCCAUGGGACAUUCAGACCUUGACAUUAUC
rnacentral:lncRNA from 1 species